GAGGAGAGGAUUUUGACAAUGCAUUGUUAGAAUUUUUAGUGAGCGAGUUUAAGAGGACUGAGGGAAUUGACCUAUCAAAAGACAAGCUUGCCCUGCAAAGACUCCGAGAGGCAGCCGAGAAAGCUAAGAUAGAGCUUUCAUCAACAUCUCAAACUGAUAUUAACUUGCCGUUCAUCACAGCCGAUGCAUCAGGGGCUAAACAUCUGAAUAUCACACUGACAAGAUCAAAAUUUGAGACAUUGGUGAACAACUUAAUCGAGAGGACAAGGAAUCCUUGCAAGAAUUGUUUGAAGGAUGCUGGAGUAUCUUUAAAAGAUGUGGAUGAGGUCCUCCUAGUUGGAGGUAUGACGCGUGUUCCUAAGGUGCAGGAAAUAGUUUCUGAGAUAUUUGGUAAAAGCCCCAGCAAAGGUGUUAAUCCAGAUGAGGCAGUUGCCAUGGGAGCUGCACUUCAAGGUGGUAUUCUCCGUGGUGAUGUUAAAGAGUUGCUUCUUUUGGAUGUAACUCCGCUAUCUCUUGGUAUUGAGACAUUGGGAGGUAUCUUCACUAGAUUAAUAAACAGGAAUACUACCAUUCCCACAAAGAAAAGCCAGGUGAGUUGUUGGAUCUUAAUGCAGUCUCCUGUUUAUUUUUAUUAAUGCCUAGUUUCAACAGAAUGGUUCUCCUUUCGUCCAGGAUCCACAUAAUCUUUUCCAUGUUGGGAGAUUUGUGACUGUUCCAUGUUUAUACAAAUAUUACAAUUUUCAAGACACCUAAGUCACUGAAGUUAAAUUUUUAAAUUUGAUGUGAUUUUUCUUUGUCGAACUUUUCGUUUCUAUUGCAUCGUCCCUAAUGUGACUUGACAAAUUAGCAUUUUCAAGAAACCUAAGUCACUGAAGUUAAAUUUUAAAAUUUGAUGUGAUUUUUCUUUGUUGAACUUUUUGUUUCUAUUGCAUCGUCCAUAAUGUGACUUUACAGCAUCUUAAAUUUUGUCUGCUGUCAAAAAUGGGUCUGGAGAAGGAUGACACAUGGUGUUGUCGAGGUCAUAAUUUCCAAUGUGAAGUACGCUUGUUUUUUUUAGGUGUUUACAGUGUGUUGUUGCUUUGUGUAUUUCAGGUGUUUUCUACUGCUGCGGACAACCAAACGCAAGUUGGCAUCAAGGUAUUACAAGGUGAACGUGAAAUGGCAUCUGAUAAUAAGCUUCUGGGUGAAUUUGAGCUUGUUGGUAUUCCUCCAGCCCCAAGGGGUUUGCCUCAGAUUGAGGUCACCUUUGACAUAGACGCAAAUGGUAUGGUCACUGUAUCUGCCAAAGACAAGGCUACUAGCAAAGAGCAGCAGAUUACCAUUCGGUCAUCUGGUGGUCUAUCAGAAGAUGAGAUUGACAAGAUGGUCAGGGAAGCAGAAAUGCAUGCCCAGAAGGAUCAAGAACGCAAGGCACUUAUUGAUAUCAGGAAUAGUGCAGACACUACCAUAUAUAGUAUCGAGAAGAGCUUGAGUGAGUACAAGGAUAAGGUCCCCAAGGAAGUGGUUACAGAGAUCGAGACAGCUAUUUCUGAUUUGAGAGCAGCAAUGGGGACUGAGAACAUUGAUGAUAUCAAGGCGAAACUUGAUGCGGCAAACAAAGCUGUCUCAAAGAUUGGAGAGCACAUGGCUGGUGGCAGUUCUGGUGGUGCAUCUGGAGGUGGUGGUGCACAAGGAGGAGAUCAGCCACCAGAGGCAGAAUACGAGGAAGUAAAGAAAUAGAUAUUUAUUCUAGGCAUAAUUGAAUAGUGCAUGAAAAAGACAAGAGAGAGAUGUUAUAGAUCUACUUUCCUUCUAAAAAUGAGUUUAUUUUUUCCAUCACUUUUCCCCUUCCCCGGAAGUAUUUUGUGCUCAAGCUCAAAACUGGUUGUAUCAAUGGUCUUGAGUUGUGAAUUUCUUAGCGUCUAGUCUUCUAUGUUCAGUAGAACAGGUGAGUAUGAUUUUUGACAGCCCUUCAAUGUUAAAAUUGACAGAAACAAUGCUUUGUUUCCACAAUAAUAUGAUACUGUCCUUUUAAUUUACAGCUUUUUGCCCGCUUUACCUUUCCAUAUGUAUCUGUCUCAUCUUAGCAACCAGUAGAACUGAUGUCAAUAUAUAAUUUAAUUCUUUUCUCAAUAUUUUGGUAUGGGAAUAGGCUCUGAAAAUUGUUUAUUUUAGUUUGAAAUUGCCGUAAUGGUAUCAAAUUUUAUGGAGAAUUUUUUACAGCUUAACUAUUAUACCAAAUUUUAUGGAGAUUUUUUUACAGCUUAAACUAUUUAAUAGUGUAUUAGGUAUAUAUGUGCUCAUGUUUUGUGGCUACGUGGAUAUAUAUAUAUACCUUUAAAAUACACUAUUAAAUAAUGUAGCAGGCUAAAACAUUUUUUUAAAAAUUUGGUAUCAUAAAAUAAUUUUGAUUAAAAUUUAAAUAUAUUUCAUACUUUUUUUUUAUUGACAUUGCUUUUCAUUUUGGAACUGUUUCAGUUAGAAGAAUAAUAAAAUUUACGCAUAUUUUGAUAGAAUAAAACAGCAGUUAAUAUUCUCAUUAAGACAAAACGUGAGCAUUUGUUUCAAAACUAACCUUUCCUAUGUUUUCCUGUAUGAAUUCGAUUAUGUUCAAUUAUAAAAAUAAAGAUGAAGAUUUGUUUGAUUAUCUUUUUUUUUGAUGUAAUCCUUUAAGAACCAUUGAACGUGCCAUAGAACUAUUAAUUAAAAGAAAACUAUGAUUUCUUCUCAAUAUUUGUUGUGUAUUAUGUAUUGAACAUAAAUUUUGAAAUUUAUUUACUUGGUGCUUUAAGAAAGCAAAACUUUUCGAUAAGGAGCAUAGUAUAUCAUUAUUGAUCUUACAGAUUGAAUUUUGUAAAUUCAAAUGUCAAUAUGGAAAUUGCACAUUUAUUGCUAAAAACACAUGAGGCUUGAAUGCACAUUAAUCAAGCUAGUAAAUUUGAAUUUCUAAUGCUUAAAACAAAAAUUUAAUUAUAACAUGAGAUUUCUAUUGAUAAUUUCAAGCGGAAAAUUAUUAAAAAAACAAAGAAUACUAUAUAAUGUUUUUUUUUAAACUCCUUUAACAUUAAAUAAGAAUGGUGCUUUUAAAAAUAUUUUGAAAAAAAAACAUUCCACAAACCAUUUAUUUUACCAUAUACUCUAUCUUUUAUAUAUAAAGAAUACAAGGAUGGACUUAGAAUAUGCCCCAUACUUCAUGAACACAUAUUUUAAAUCUUGAAUAAAUAAAAAUAAUCACAGUAUAACUAUUAGUAAUAUUUUGCCUCUUAAAAUUGAAUCAAACAAAAUAACGUGUGUAUAUAAGUUGAAUCACAGCUAUUUCUAAUCUAUUUGUCCCUUUUUCUUUGCCUCUCUCUAAAACCCUAAACCCUAACACUGAACUUCCCCUUUACAGUUAUAAAGUAGCGUUGGCCACACAGCCGCCGCCUUGCUCAAUCUCUCCUCGCCGUGAACUACCUCUUCUCUGUUAUGAUCUUCUUAAGAUCACAAGCUCAAUUCACCAACAAAUCAAAAAAUGCAGAAGAAAACCAACUGUAGAAUUUAUUGAUACCGAAGUUCUUUAUUACAACUACUGAUACUAUAACUAUGGAAUCUACUGCUACGCCAUUGAUGAUCUGCAAGGAGAAGAAGAAGAAGAAGAAGAAAAAGAAGAAGAUUCUGGAUAGAAGAAGAAAGAAGGAAAAAGAGAAGAGAAUUGGUGUGACUUAUUUUUCAGUUAUUUCCCUCUCUCUUCCAGCAUGACCACUUAUAACAACCUCCACCAACAACCUGUACCCACGUGUCAUAAUCCUCACCCUCAACUUUCCUUAAUCAACUUCCAAUCUCAUCCUUCAUUUUAUAUUUCUGUUAACCUUUCCAUUUCCUGUUAUUGCCAGAUUCAAGGAUCGAAUCCCUGCAACCCAUAUUUGUUAUACCUUUAACUGUUUAACUGCAGUUCAUAAUUGUCCCUUCCCCAUCAAAGCAUCCUUGACCUCAAGGAUUAGAAUCAAAACCAGGAAACUUAGCCUUCAAAAAAUCAUAAUCCUCCCAAGUGGCAUCCGAUUAGACCAUUGAACCAAAACCCGAACAGCAGCCACAUUGUUUCGUUUAACCAUCUGCCGCUGCAGAAUUGCCACUGGCUUAACCAAAAACUGUCCGUUGUCAUUUGUAUAAGGCAAUUCUGACUGUAUAACCACUCGAUCUCCGACCUUCUUCUUUAACAACGAAACAUGAAAAACUGGAUGAAUCUUAUAAUGCGAAGGUAGAGCUAAUUUAUAAGCCAACAACCCAAUUCUUUCGACUAUCAAAUAAGGACCAUAAUAUUUAGAACUGAGCUUCAAAUUCCGUCUCAAAGCAAUAGAAGUCUGCCGAUAUGGUUGAAGCUUUAAGUAAACCCAAUCUCCCACUAGAAACUCACGCUCGGUCCUUUUCUUAUUCGCGAAAAACUUCAUUCUAGCUUGGGCAGUAGCUAGAUUGUCUUUCAACAAUUGAAGAAAUUGUUGUCGAUGCAUCACUGCGUCUUCUGCUGCCUGUACUACUGUCUCCAAAAGAGGGUCAAUUGAAAGUUGAGGCGGAGUAUAACCAUGCAACGCUUCGAAUGGAGUACAUCGCAGACCCGUGUGGAAGUUGGUGUUAUACCACCAUUCUGCAACAGGUAGCCAUUGUUUCCACUACGUAGGCCUGCUUGUAGUCAUACAUCGAAGGUAAUUUUCCAGACACCUAUUGACUCUCUCAGUUUGUCCAUCACUCUGAGGAUAAUAGGCCGAACUAUAGUGCAAUUGUGUACCCAUUAGUUUGAACAUUUCCUACCAGAACUUACUCAAAAAUACCUUGUCUCUGUCAGACACAAUACUGUCGGGAGUACCAUGUAACCUAUGAAUAUGUCUCCAAUACAACUCAGCUACUGUUAGAGCAGUAUAUGGAUGAGACAUAGCUAUAAAAUGGGCAUACUUGGUAAAUCGAUCUACCACCACCAAUAUCACGCUUUUAGCUUUCGACUUCAGCAAACCUUCUAUAAAGUCCAUGCUAAUAUUACUCCACGCUUGAUUAGGAAUUGGCAAUGGCUGAAGUAAACCGGGAUAGGCUGCAUUGUCGUCCUUGUUACGAUGGCAAACCUCACACUGAGCUACAGAUUCAUUCACCAUAGCUCUCAUUCUUGGCCAAUAGAAAUCUUGAGUUAACCUUUUGAAAGUGCCCAAUUGGCUCGAAUGUCCACCCAAAGGAGUGUCAUGAAAAGUAGAAAUUAGUUGUUGUCGUAAGGGCCCUUUGGAACCCACAUAAACCUUGCCUUUCUUCCUUAAAACCCCAUUGACGUUAUGCCACAAACUAGGCCCGUGAACAUCAACUGAUAUCAAGGUUAGCAGCUCUUGAACAUAAGGAUCCUCCAUAUAACUAUGCAUAAUUUCUUGUAUCCACAUUGGCAUAAUCAUACUCACAGCCAUCAGUAAACCAGCCGAAGACUUUUCACUCUCUUGUAACCUUUCGUCUCGCCUGGAUAGAGCAUCUGCUACCCUAUUCUCCGCUCCUUUUUUGUAUCGCACCUCAUAUCAAGGUCUAAUAAUUUCGUUAUUCCUUUUUUUUGUAUAGCUGAUGUUACUCGUUGUUCCAACAGAUCUUUCAAACUGUGAUGAUCAGUCUUGACCACAAAGUGUUUGAACUGUAAAUAAUGUCUCCAUUUAUCCACUGCGUUAAGUAGAGCCAUAUACUCCCUCUCAUAAAUCGACUUGCCCCUAUGUUUAGGAGCCAAUACUUUGCUAAAGAAAGCAAUUGGCCUCCCUUGCUACGUAAGUACAGCUCCAAUACCCCUAUGACUAGAAUCAGUCUCUACCACAAACUCUUGGGUAUAGUCAGGAAGAGUCAAUACAGGUGUAUUCGUCAUAGCUAUUUUAAGAGCUUCAAAGGUAGUUUUGGCAUCCACACUCCAUUUGAAGGCUUCAUUUUUUAACAAAUGAGUGAGUGACCUGCUGAUGGUCCCAUAAUUUUGCACAUACUUCCGAUAGUAACAUGUUAGCCCAAGAAAUCCUCUUAGAGCCCGUAAGGUCUUAGGUCUAGGCCAUUCUAUCAUAGCUCAAAUCUUAUGAGGAUCGGUAGCCACCCCUUCCUUAGUAAUAAUAUGGCGUAAGUAUUCCACUUGAGCUUGCCCAAAAGAACAUUUAGACUUCUUUGCAAACAACACAUUAAGCCUCAAAGUUUCAAAUACCACCUGCAGAUGCUGUAAAUGCUCCUCCAUAUUUCGGCUAUAGAUUAAUAUAGCAUCGAAAAGGACUAGAACAAACCUUCUGAGCGAUCUAAAAAUCUAAUUCAUUAAUGCUUGAAAUGUUGCUGGAGCAUUGGUAAAUCCGAAAGGCAUUACUCUAAACUCAUAAUGGCCCAUGUGAGUCCGAAAUGCCGUCUUGUGCAUAUCUUCCAUCUUCAUCCUAAUUUGAUGAUAACCAACCCUCAAAUCUACCUUAAAAAAGAUUGACGCCCCAUGUAGUUCAUCCAACAAAUCACCGACUAUAGGUAUGGGAUACUUGUCUUUAAUGGUCAAGUCAUUCAAUCCUCUAUAAUCGACACAAAACCUCCAUGUUCCAUCCUUUUUCUUUACUACCAAUGCUGGUGAAGAAUAAGACGAUUGAAUAGCCUGUAUGAUUCCACUACUAAGCAUCUCUUUCACCUGCUUUUCCAACUAAUUCUUUUGAUGGAAGUUAUAUCUAUAUGGCCUCAGACUAACGGGUAUAGCUCCCGUCUUAAGAGGAAUCGCAUGGUCAAACAGUCUUGCCGGUGGCAGUGACUUCGGUUCUGCGAAAAUAUCAGCAUAUUUAACCAACACAUUAUGAAGUCCCUCAUCGAUUACCUCCUCCUCACUGUUUGUCAUCAUGUUCAUCAUAAAAAGAUGAGCAACUAUAGCUUGACCCUUCUUCAACAUCUUUUUCAUUGAUCCACUAGAUAGCAUACUCAAACUUUCCUCACCUGCAAUUCCUGGCAGCACUAAUUUAUUAACUUUCCUGCCUAUAGUAACACACUUCCGUUCAUGAUCAAACUUAGUCGGAUUAUGUUUCUUCAUCCAAUCAUUUCCUAACACCAAUGCACAACCACCCAAGGAAAUAAUGAGCAAAUCUUCUAUGAAAAUUCUAUCCUGCAUUUUCCACGAAAAUCCUUUACAGUGAGAGUUGCACAUUACGUAAUUACCAUCUGCCACUGUCACUCGUACAGGAGAACACAGAUGAGGUUGGUAGCCUGAUGCAGCUACAAUAUGCUUAUCAAUGAAGCUAUGUGUGCUCCCGAAUCAAUUAAAAUUGCCAGUUGUCACUUCUUCACAGUCCCCCCGAUAAGAAUUGUAUUCUCUCUUUUGUUAUGACCAGUUAAUGCAUUAAGACACACAGCUUGUUGUACCUCUUAUUCGACUACUCCUUCAAUGGUUAUCUCCUCCAUGUCUUCCAAUACUGACAUCUGAUCAACUUCCCUUUCCUUCUCAACGAAUCCAGUUAAAUAAUUCAACUGUCUCGUUUUGCAUAUAUGUCCCAACCCAUAUUUCUCUCCACAACGGAAACACAAGUGAUUCGACUUCCUAAACUCAUAAACUUCAGGAGUAAGUCGGUAAGGCCCAUUUCUGUUAACCAUCGCAUUAGAUGCUUUUCCUACUUCCUGCGCAGCUGCCGGCAACACUCUGUUCACUGUUCUAUUCCUCCUUCGUGCAGCUUCAAUAGCCAUUUCCUUCAUCCUCGCUUUCUCUACCGCUUCUUUCAACGUCCUCGGCUUGAACAUUUUAACCUCAAAUCUAAUUUCCUCCUUCAAAGCUCCAAUAAAACUAGAUAAGAAAUGAUCUUCGUUCAAACCGGAUUUCGUAUAAGCAUUCGAGCUUUAAGAUCUUCAAAUCUCCAUAUAAACUCAUCCACAAUACCGAUUUGUUGUAGCUUGUUAAACUCUUCCACCACAUCACUUACUACAAUUUCUCCAAACCUGCUGAUUAAAUCCUCUUUAAACUCGAUCCAAUUCGGUAUUCCUCCGCUUAACACCAUCGACUGAUACCAUACUUCAGCAACAUCAGUCAAGUAUAAAGCAACUAUUUCUAUCCUCUGUUCAUUACCUACUCUGUAUUGUGUAAAAAAACCUCUCACACUUUCGAAUCCACACCUUCGGCUCUUGACCUGCGAAACCAGGUAACUCCCACCUCAGUAACGUCACUGCAUUCGGCUGAACUCUAUUGCGAUUAUCCCCAUUCGGAGUAGGUACUAAGCCUGCUCCCACAUUCGGAACUGUCACGACCGGAAUCUAGACCCCAGACGAGACCGGCGUCGUUGACCUCUCGGAGGUCGCAGACAAGCCUGCUUACGUCAUUCUUACUUUACAUAGAUUAAUUUUAGCGGAAAAUUUGAAAUUUUUGAUUCUUUAAUCAUACUUGCUGAACAUUCUUAACAUUUCGUAAUCGUUCAUCAUCAACCAUCUAACAUUUAAGAGAUAAGCAACUGAAAGAAAUAAUUCAUUAAGUAUUAAUUGUAUAUCGGCCAAAAUAGCACCAAUACAAAGUUUGAACCAAAACAGGAAAGAAACGCUAGUGGAACAUGCUCCGCUAGCUCAACUCUAAAACUACGCUAGAAUGUAAAACAGUAGCAUCCUCGAAAGCAUGAGGACCUACCAAACUCCGGAUGAAUACUGAUGUCCGGAUAGCUGCAACAACGAACCUGUAGCUCUAGCGUCCACCUGUGCCUGCACCUAAAAGUAGAUGUUCGUAUGGAAUUAGUACACACUUGUACUAAGUAUGAGUAUAUGCAAGUACACACCAGGGACAUGCAUGAGGAAGAAUAGCUCUUUCCUAACAACAUGAUUUUUGGAAGUCAAGUCAGUGGACUUGCCAAAUUGAGAUUGGGAAAGUUAUGCCAUGAGAGUGACAUGCAUCAUUAUAAUUAUCGUAUAGCACACAAAACAUAACAUAUUCAUAUAACACAUAACAUAUAACACAUACUUUCUUUCAUAUUAUUCAUUCGUAUACCAUGAGACCUUAUUAUCAUAGACUUAACUUUAAGACUUUCCAAAAUGAGGGCUCAACAUAUGGGACCUCAACUAGGGAGCCUUCUUUAGCAAACACAGAGUCUGCUUCACUCAUUCAUUCGUAUUUCAUUUCAAUUCAUUCAUAGGCCAGUGCGAACACCAGGUAUACCUAGGAUGUAGUUUAAGACUCUCAUCGGGUUUGCUGUGCAAUGAUCAGGAAUGACCUAAUGUCAUUACCUGAAUCUAGCUCACCUCUUGAUUAUCCUAUCCUAACACCUUCGGUAUCAUUCAUUUCUUUAUAUGAUUCGUUUGAGGCUGGCCUCAUUCAUUCAUUGGGAACUUUAACUUUAACCGACAUAGAUCAUGUGAGCAUCAUGAAAUCCAGUGUCUUCCCCACACCGAAAAGAGGUGGAAUCACCGGCCAAAGCGAUUCAAUAACAUGCUAGCGUAUAUGGGAAUUUAACCCCGCCAGAUCCCUAUAGUGGCAAUAUAGGUUCAAAGACUAGGAGAUGUAUGGAGACCCAUACCCGGCAAGCCGGACAGUCUCAUCUCAUGAGAAUUACGUGAACCUCCGCCCUUCCCGAAAGAAGGCAUCACCACUCAUAGCUAGCCUAUCGGUGCUCGGUAUAAAGUUCCAUUACAUGCAACUCAUACAUCAUAGAAGUUUGCUUCUAGUAUGAAGACAUCAUAGCUCAAUAGAUGAUUUCUCAUCUCAUCAUUAGUAUUAAGUGUUUUAAACUCAAUAUUUUUAUUAGAGUAUUCAUAGAGACUGGUCUCUUCAUUAUCUUACACUCUCAUUGGUGAGUAUGUAUCGGUAACAUUUACUUAAGCUCAUUUAAGAUUGCUCUCAUCAUAUGCAUUAACCUCACAUCAUGAUUGUCGCCACAUUCUUCAUUUCAUUACGUAUAUCUUAGGUUCACUUAUUCUUGAACGUAUGUUAAACUUAUAUAUCUAUACAUACAAGCCAUGAGGCUUCAUUUAUAGUUCGUUAAGUGAAUUCUUGUUUUUCUAAGAUUAUGUAUUACAAGACUUAUGUAUCUUGUAUAUAUGCCAAGAUCUUUGAUUUUUGAUCUAAGUAGAUGACAUUAUUCUUGAAUAUUUCACUCACGUAUGACUUAUGUAUCAAUACGGAGGUUUGGACACGAGAACCCAAAUUUUGAAUUAUUUGGAUAUCAUUUAUAUUUUUCAUUGAUUUUAGUUCUAAUAUUCAUAAAUUUAGAACUCUAAGUUAAGUCUCAACAUUUUCGUGAAAUAAUAAAUUUUCUAUUUUAAUUAGAAUUCUAAAUUAAAUUUCAAUCAUUUACAUGAAAGAAUAAUUUUCUAAUUUAAUUAGAAUUCCAAUUUAAAUCUCAAUAUUUACAUAAAAGAAUUAAUAUUCUAUUUUUAAUUAAGAUUCUAAAUUAAAUCUCAAUGUUUACAUAAGAGAAUUAAUUUUCCAACUUUAAUUAGAAUUUUAAUUUACUAUUAUUAUUAUUUUUAAUUAAAUUCGCUUGAAUAGGGAGGUUGUGGGUUCGAACCCCCACAGCCCCCCUCAUUUUCCUCUUAAUUUCGCUGGGAAUGGAGGCUGUGAGGUGGUGGGUUCGAACCCCCACAGCCUCACCUUUAUUCCCUUAAUAUUUUUACCCCCCCUUCAGCCCUGAGGUCGCGGGUUCGAUCCCCACGCCUUGCAUCCCCCCUUUUUAUUUAUUUAUUUAUUUAUUUUUUAAUUCUUUGACAUCCCAAAAAUUUCCAGAUUCUUUUUAAACCUAUUUCUAUGUUUUUGGAAAUUUAUUCCACUAUUUUUCUGCACUUUUUCAUCAAGUUUCACAUUAGUUCUUAGGGAGAUUUCAUGGUUCAUUCACUUCACUAUGCUUCAUCAAAAUAAACAUCACAUUGCACACCCAUUUCACACAUAAAAUACAUGAUAAAUAAACAACUUAUAUACCCCAAAACAAUGCCUAAAACACUGCCCUAUACACACCCAUACAUCAACUUUUUCCGAUCAUAUUCUGAUGAUCAUUAUCGCGAUUUCCCGCACAUAAACACAUUCAUAUUUAAUUUAAACACAUCAUUCAUGCAAAAAUCUAGCAGCACAACAUACCCAUCCUACAAAUUCAUUAGGGAGCUAAGGACAAGGACAUACGAAGGGGAACAACCUUAGUUUCAAGAGUUUAAGAAACGUCCGAAAGAAAGUACUCUUGGAGAAAGAAUUCCAUGAGAGAAACUCAUACCUUAAUCGAUGUUCAAACUUUAAUGUUGCUGCCCGGAAAACUCCUCCAAACCACUCCCAAUUCACUUCAAAGUAUACCUCUCUCGACGAACCUCUCUUAGCCUUGAUGUUUUGAUUACUUUUUCUUUUGCUUAAAAAUUUUUUUGUGAGUUCUUCAAGCAUGAAAAUUAUUGAUAUUUUGGCAGAAAUAAUGUGAGGAAGAUGGAGAACGUGAGAGAGGGAGUUUAGAAGCGUGAGAGAGAGAGGGCUAAUUGGAUUAGGAGACUAAUUCAAGAAUUAGUCAAAUAACAUUAAAAUAAAUAAAUACAAAUCUGUUUUAUUUAUUUAUUUAUUUAUUCAUUUAAAACGUGAAAGGACAAUUAUGCCCUUAAAUACCUAUUUAUUCUUAUUUACAUAAUUCUCUUUUUUUUGAAUCGUUACAUUAUCCCCCCUUAGGAACAUUCGUCCCCGAAUGACACUACCAUUUCACCUCAUAAUGCCAAUGAGAUCAUAACUUAAUUGCUAUGUACAAUCAGCCAAUAGCAACAAAUAUGAAGAGAUAAGGAACUAUAGCCUUACGAGUAGGAAGCCUAACCUCAAGAGUUGAAAAGAUGUGGAUAUCGGGAUCUCAUGUCGGCCUCAGCCUCCCACGUAGCACCCUCAACAAGAUGGUUUCUCCACAAUACCUUCACUGUGGCAAUCUCCUUGUUCCUCAGUCGCUUGACCUGUCUGUCUAAGAUCUCAACAGGUACUUCCUCAUAGGACAAGUCUUCACCAACCCCCAAACCUUCUACAGGUAGGAUUGAUGCUGGAUCACCUAGGCACUUCUUCAACAUAGAGACAUGAAAGACUGGAUGAACAGAAGCUAGCUCCGCAGGCAAUGCUAACUCAUAGGCCACCUCACCCACGCGCUGUAGGAUCUCAUAUGGCCCCACAUACCUCGGACUAAGCUUCCCUUUUCUACCAAAUCGCAUCACCCCUUUCAUAGGCGAUAUCUUCAAGUAAACCUGGUCACCAACGUUAAAUUCUAAGGGUCGCUUUCUAUUGUCUGCAUAUGACUUUUGUCGGCUGUAAGCGGUAGCCAACCUGUCUCUAAUCAUUCUAACUUUCUCCAAGGCCUCAUGAAUGAUCUCUGGACUCAAAAUAGAUGACUCUCCAACCUCGAACCACCCAACUGGAGAUCUACACCUCCUACCAUACAAUGCCUCAAAUGGUGCCAUCCCAAUGCUGGAGUGGUAGCUAUUAUUAUACGAGAACUCUAUCAAAGGUAGAUGGUCAUCCCAAUUACCUCUAAAGUCAAUCACACACGCUCUCAACAUGUCCUCCAAUGUCUGAAUAGUGCGCUCUGCCUGCCCAUCUGUCUGAGGAUGAAAGGCAGUGCUAAGUUUCACCUGCGUGCCUAAGCUUUUCUGGAAAGAUCUCCAAAAAUGCGAAGUAAACUGAGCUCCUCUAUCUGAAAUAAUAGACAAAGGAAUCCCAUGCCAUCUCACAAUCUCAUCAAUGUAGAGUCUCGCGUAAUCCUCGGCCCUGUAAGUGGACUUCACAGGGAUAAAGUGGGCAGACUUAGUCAGUCUGUCCACAAUAACCCAUAUAGAGUCAUGCUGCCUCCUAGUCCUCGGAAGACCAACUACGAAGUCCAUAUUAAUGGCCUCCCAUUUCCAAGUCGGAACCUCAAUAAUCUGAGUCAGACCACCAGGCUUAAGAUGCUCUGCCUUAACCUGCUGACAAUUAGGACACUUAGCCACAUAGUCUGCAAUAUCCUUCUUCAUGCCAUCCCACCAAUAAAUCUGCUUAAGAUCAUGAUACAUUUUUGUGGAACCUGGAUGUAUGGAAUAUCUGGAACCAUGGGCCUCUGUAACAAUCUUGGUCCGUAAAUCAUCUACAUCUGGUACGCACAACCGGUUCUGGUAUCUAAGUAUGCCAUCAUCUCCCAAAGCAAAAGACUCAUUCAUUUUUAACAACACUGAGUCCUUCAUCUCCAUCAACACAGGAUCGAGAUGCUGACCCUUCUUGACUUCCACUAUCAGGGAUGAUUCAGAACUAGGGUGAACUGAAACACCUCCACUAGUAGAGUCAACCAACCGUACACCCAGCCUGGCCAGUCUGUGUACCUCUUUCACUAGCUCCUUCUUCUCAUCCUCAACGUGGGCUGUACUCCCCAUGCUCAUCCUGCUCAAAGCAUCAGCCACAACAUUAGCCUUACCUGGAUGAUAGUGCACAUUCAUGUCAUAAUCCUUCAGCAGCUCCAACCAUCUGCAUUGCCGUAGAUUCAGCUCUCUCUGCGUGAACACGUACUGGAGACUCUUAUGAUCCGUGAACACAUCCACGUGUACUCCAUAUAGAUAAUGCCUCCAUAACUUCAACGCAAACACCACAGCUGCCAACUCCAAGUCAUGAGUGGGAUAAUUCUUUUCAUGAACCUUGAGCUGUCUGGAAGCAUAAGCUAUCACCUUACCAGCCUGCAUAAGAACACAUCCCAAACCGACCCUAGAUGCAUCGCAAUAGACAGUGUAAUUCUCGCCACUCUUAGGCAGAGUAAGUACCGGGGCUGAAGUGAGUCUGUCCUUGAGCUCCUGGAAACUCUUCUCACAAGUAUCCGUCCAUUCAAACUUGGAUUUAUUCUUUGUCAAGGUUGUAAGUGGGGCAGCAAUGGAAGAAAAUCCUUCCACGAUCCUGCGGUAGUAACCAGCCAAUCCCAGAAAGCUACGGAUAUCGGUGGGUGUAAGAGGCUUUGGCCAUUUCUACACCUUGACCGGACACAACAUGGCCCAGGAAGGUCACUGAUCUCAGCCAGAAUUCACACUUGCUGAAUUUGGCAUACAACUGAUGCUGUCUAAGUACCUGCAAGGUUAGUCUCAAAUGCUGUUCAUGCUCUUCCUUGGUCUUAGAGUAGAUGAGAAUGUCAUCAAUGAAUACUAUGACGAAAGAGUCAAGGUAUUCACGGAAAACUCUGUUCAUGAGGUCCAUAAAUGCAGCAGGUGCAUUCGUGAGACCGAAUGACAUAACCAAGAACUCAUAAUGACCAUAACGGGUACGAAAAGCUGUUUUUGGGACAUCCCUAUCCCUAACUCUAAGUUGAUGAUACCCUGAACGAAGAUCAAUCUUAGAGAAGAAACUAGACCCUUGGAGCUGAUCGAACAAAUCAUCAAUUCUGGGAAGUGGGUACUUAUUCUUUAUAGUGACUUUGUUGAGCUGCCGAUAAUCGAUACACAUUCUAAGGGUCCCAUCCUUUUUCUUUACAAACAACACUGGAGCGCCCCAAGGGGAUAUGCUCGGCUGAAUGAAACCCUUAUCCGUGAGAUCUUUUAACUGCAGCUUCAACUCCUUGAGUUCUGCUGGAGCCAUUCUAUAAGGAGGAAUUGAGAUUGGUUUAGUAUCAGGUUCUAAGUCGAUACCAAAGUCAAUCUCUCGAAGGGGAGGGACUCCAGGCAAAUCUUCAGGAAACACAUCUAGGAAUUCACUUACUACAGGCACCGAGUCUAUGGAAGGAACGUCAUGAUCUAAAUCAUUAACACUCACUAGAUGACAUAGUAACCCUUUGGCCAUCAUUUUAUUGGCCUUGAGAUUUGAAACCAAGGGGUUAGGACGAAUCGGAUUGUACCCCUCCCAGACUAACUCUUCUCCAUUAGGGAAGCGAAACCUCACCACCCUACUACGACAGUCCAAACAAGCAUAAUAGCUGUGAAGCCAGUCCAUGCCAAGAAUAAUAUCAAAAUCGCGCAUGGGUAACUCAAUCAAGUUUGCACACAUAGCCUUGCCACUCACAACUAUUGGGCAAUUCUUGUAUACCCUAUCGGUUCUCACAUUUUCUCCUAAAGGCGUACUAACCACUAUAGGAUCAUGCAGAACUUCAGGUAGUAUUUCAAAGGUAAGGGCAAGCAGAGGAGUCACAAAGGAAAGCGUAGACCCUGGAUCAAGUAAAGCAUAAACAGAAGUUGAGAAUACUUGCAGCAUACCUGUGACCACAUCAGCGGACUUCUCCUGCUCCUCCCUACCUUUCAAGGCAUAAAAUCUGUUCCUCUUCGGAGGUUCGGCUGCUGCUGCAUUAUGUGGGGUAGGCCUAGGCUGAGCAUUACCCCCAGCCUGACCUCUGUUCUGGGGACAGUCUAUGACCAUGUGUCCACUCUUACCACAACCGAAACAGGCAUUAGUGCCCUGUCUACAUUCUCCAAGGUGCAUUCGGCCACACUUAGUACAAGUCUUCCUUGGACGCUGCAUCUCACCUCCAUUGCCCCUCUUGGGUUCGGGUCUGCCUCCUCUAGGCGUUGUAUUUCUCUGAGGGUCAGAAUUUCCAGCACUCUGUUGCCCCUUCUUGAAUUUGGGAUGCUCGCGGACGCCAAAAUUGUUUCUGUGGCCUCCAUGGCUGGGACCUGCCUGAUCUUGAGGCCUAGGCCUCCUAACAUCACGUACACCUCUCCUCUUUCGGCUGUCCUCUACCUGUUGGACAUGCAUCAUUAAUCUAGAAAGGUCCAUAUUAUCAUGGAGCAUCGCAGCCCGACAAUCUUCCUCUAGGUCUCCAUUGAUUCCUGUGAGGAAUCUGCUCAUCUCCUCCCUGCUGGUAGAAACCAAGGGAGUAGCAUACCUGGAUGAUUUCAACAAAGUUAAGUACUCUCAUCAUUCUUGUUAUCAAAUACUAAGGGAAGCACAUACCUUGAUAACUUCACAAACUUUAGGGAAUACUCCCUGACAGUCAUGGAUCCUUGCUUGAGGUUGAUGAACUCCUCAACCUUGGCCUCUUUCAUCUCUCUAGGGAAGAACCUUUCCAAAAAUGCUGUCUUGAACAGCUCCCAGGUGACUGGCACCCCUCCUAGGACACGGCUAUCUCGCCACAUUUUGCACCAAGUCUGUGCAACAUCUUUGAGCUGGUAGGAAGCCAACUCAGCCUUCUCAAUAUCAGUGGCCCCCAUGGCCACCAGUAUCUUAUGCAACUCGUCUAUAAAUUCCUGGGGAUCUUCUGAAGUCUUAGCCCCUGUGAAAAUUGGAGGAUUCAUCCUCGUGAAGUCUCGCAGUCUGUCAGCUAUGCUGCGAGCCGGUGGGUUUUCCCUCAGAACAUCCUGCCGGUUGACUUGGGCAGUCAUAGCUUGGGCCUGCAUCGUGAUGGCCUGUGCCAUCUGGGCUAGAGAUGCCCUCACCUCCGCAUCAGUCAACCCAGCUGGGUUCACUGGCAUGGCCACUCCUUCAGCUGGAGCCUGGGGUGGAUUCUGAUUACCCCUAGCUGCUGCUGCUCCCGUCCUCAGACCCUUAGUUCCCCAGGUAUUCAUUCUCUGAAAACAGCAAGGUUGAUGUUAGACACGUUCGUAACACCAAGAAUUUAAACAUUAGGAAAAGCACAAUAAGAUAAGAAGAAGGGAAGUCUUUCCUACGCAUCGUGCAGUCUCUAAUCCAGGAUAGUGGUGCACUUCACUACCAUGACUUAGAAACUACUCAAUGUGGUUGAUGUGAACUCAUUAUUCGAGGAAUUUAACCUAGCGCUCUGAUACCAACUUUGUCACGACCGGAAUCUAGACCCCAGACGAGACCGGCGUCGUUGACCUCUCGGAGGUCGCAGACAAGCCUGCUUACGUCAUUCUUACUUUACAUAGAUUAAUUUUAGCGGAAAAUUUGAAAUUUUUGAUUCUUUAAUCAUACUUGCUGAACAUUCUUAACAUUUCGUAAUCGUUCAUCAUCAACCAUCUAACAUUUAAGAGAUAAGCAACUGAAAGAAAUAAUUCAUUAAGUAUUAAUUGUAUAUCGGCCAAAAUAGCACCAAUACAAAGUUUGAACCAAAACAGGAAAGAAACGCUAGUGGAACAUGCUCCGCUAGCUCAACUCUAAAACUACGCUAGAAUGUAAAACAGUAGCAUCCUCGAAAGCAUGAGGACCUACCAAACUCCGGAUGAAUACUGAUGUCCGGAUAGCUGCAACAACGAACCUGUAGCUCUAGCGUCCACCUGUGCCUGCACCUAAAAGUAGAUGUUCGUAUGGAAUUAGUACACACUUGUACUAAGUAUGAGUAUAUGCAAGUACACACCAGGGACAUGCAUGAGGAAGAAUAGCUCUUUCCUAACAACAUGAUUUUUGGAAGUCAAGUCAGUGGACUUGCCAAAUUGAGAUUGGGAAAGUUAUGCCAUGAGAGUGACAUGCAUCAUUAUAAUUAUCGUAUAGCACACAAAACAUAACAUAUUCAUAUAACACAUAACAUAUAACACAUACUUUCUUUCAUAUUAUUCAUUCGUAUACCAUGAGACCUUAUUAUCAUAGACUUAACUUUAAGACUUUCCAAAAUGAGGGCUCAACAUAUGGGACCUCAACUAGGGAGCCUUCUUUAGCAAACACAGAGUCUGCUUCACUCAUUCAUUCGUAUUUCAUUUCAAUUCAUUCAUAGGCCAGUGCGAACACCAGGUAUACCUAGGAUGUAGUUUAAGACUCUCAUCGGGUUUGCUGUGCAAUGAUCAGGAAUGACCUAAUGUCAUUACCUGAAUCUAGCUCACCUCUUGAUUAUCCUAUCCUAACACCUUCGGUAUCAUUCAUUUCUUUAUAUGAUUCGUUUGAGGCUGGCCUCAUUCAUUCAUUGGGAACUUUAACUUUAACCGACAUAGAUCAUGUGAGCAUCAUGAAAUCCAGUGUCUUCCCCACACCGAAAAGAGGUGGAAUCACCGGCCAAAGCGAUUCAAUAACAUGCUAGCGUAUAUGGGAAUUUAACCCCGCCAGAUCCCUAUAGUGGCAAUAUAGGUUCAAAGACUAGGAGAUGUAUGGAGACCCAUACCCGGCAAGCCGGACAGUCUCAUCUCAUGAGAAUUACGUGAACCUCCGCCCUUCCCGAAAGAAGGCAUCACCACUCAUAGCUAGCCUAUCGGUGCUCGGUAUAAAGUUCCAUUACAUGCAACUCAUACAUCAUAGAAGUUUGCUUCUAGUAUGAAGACAUCAUAGCUCAAUAGAUGAUUUCUCAUCUCAUCAUUAGUAUUAAGUGUUUUAAACUCAAUAUUUUUAUUAGAGUAUUCAUAGAGACUGGUCUCUUCAUUAUCUUACACUCUCAUUGGUGAGUAUGUAUCGGUAAUAUUUACUUAAGCUCAUUUAAGAUUGCUCUCAUCAUAUGCAUUAACCUCACAUCAUGAUUGUCGCCACAUUCUUCAUUUCAUUACGUAUAUCUUAGGUUCACUUAUUCUUGAACGUAUGUUAAACUUAUAUAUCUAUACAUACAAGCCAUGAGGCUUCAUUUAUAGUUCGUUAAGUGAAUUCUUGUUUUUCUAAGAUUAUGUAUUACAAGACUUAUGUAUCUUGUAUAUAUGCCAAGAUCUUUGAUUUUUGAUCUAAGUAGAUGACAUUAUUCUUGAAUAUUUCACUCACGUAUGACUUAUGUAUCAAUACGGAGGUUUGGACACGAGAACCCAAAUUUUGAAUUAUUUGGAUAUCAUUUAUAUUUUUCAUUGAUUUUAGUUCUAAUAUUCAUAAAUUUAGAACUCUAAGUUAAGUCUCAACAUUUUCGUGAAAUAAUAAAUUUUCUAUUUUAAUUAGAAUUCUAAAUUAAAUUUCAAUCAUUUACAUGAAAGAAUAAUUUUCUAAUUUAAUUAGAAUUCCAAUUUAAAUCUCAAUAUUUACAUAAAAGAAUUAAUAUUCUAUUUUUAAUUAAGAUUCUAAAUUAAAUCUCAAUGUUUACAUAAGAGAAUUAAUUUUCCAACUUUAAUUAGAAUUUUAAUUUACUAUUAUUAUUAUUUUUAAUUAAAUUCGCUUGAAUAGGGAGGUUGUGGGUUCGAACCCCCACAGCCCCCCUCAUUUUCCUCUUAAUUUCGCUGGGAAUGGAGGCUGUGAGGUGGUGGGUUCGAACCCCCACAGCCUCACCUUUAUUCCCUUAAUAUUUUUACCCCCCCUUCAGCCCUGAGGUCGCGGGUUCGAUCCCCACGCCUUGCAUCCCCCCUUUUUAUUUAUUUAUUUAUUUUUUUUUUAAUUCUUUGACAUCCCAAAAAUUUCCAGAUUCUUUUUAAACCUAUUUCUAUGUUUUUGGAAAUUUAUUCCACUAUUUUUCUGCACUUUUUCAUCAAGUUUCACAUUAGUUCUUAGGGAGAUUUCAUGGUUCAUUCACUUCACUAUGCUUCAUCAAAAUAAACAUCACAUUGCACACCCAUUUCACACAUAAAAUACAUGAUAAAUAAACAACUUAUAUACCCCAAAACAAUGCCUAAAACACUGCCCUAUACACACCCAUACAUCAACUUUUUCCGAUCAUAUUCUGAUGAUCAUUAUCGCGAUUUCCCGCACAUAAACACAUUCAUAUUUAAUUUAAACACAUCAUUCAUGCAAAAAUCUAGCAGCACAACAUACCCAUCCUACAAAUUCAUUAGGGAGCUAAGGACAAGGACAUACGAAGGGGAACAACCUUAGUUUCAAGAGUUUAAGAAACGUCCGAAAGAAAGUACUCUUGGAGAAAGAAUUCCAUGAGAGAAACUCAUACCUUAAUCGAUGUUCAAACUUUAAUGUUGCUGCCCGGAAAACUCCUCCAAACCACUCCCAAUUCACUUCAAAGUAUACCUCUCUCGACGAACCUCUCUUAGCCUUGACGUUUUGAUUACUUUUUCUUUUGCUUAAAAAUUUUUUUGUGAGUUCUUCAAGCAUGAAAAUUAUUGAUAUUUUGGCAGAAAUAAUGUGAGGAAGAUGGAGAACGUGAGAGAGGGAGUUUAGAAGCGUGAGAGAGAGAGGGCUAAUUGGAUUAGGAGACUAAUUCAAGAAUUAGUCAAAUAACAUUAAAAUAAAUAAAUACAAAUCUGUUUUAUUUAUUUAUUUAUUUAUUCAUUUAAAACGUGAAAGGACAAUUAUGCCCUUAAAUACCUAUUUAUUCUUAUUUACAUAAUUCUCUUUUUUUUGAAUCGUUACAUUAUCCCCCCUUAGGAACAUUCGUCCCCGAAUGACACUACCAUUUCACCUCAUAAUGCCAAUGAGAUCAUAACUUAAUUGCUAUGUACAAUCAGCCAAUAGCAACAAAUAUGAAGAGAUAAGGAACUAUAGCCUUACGAGUAGGAAGCCUAACCUCAAGAGUUGAAAAGAUGUGGAUAUCGGGAUCUCAUGUCGGCCUCAGCCUCCCACGUAGCACCCUCAACAAGAUGGUUUCUCCACAAUACCUUCACUGUGGCAAUCUCCUUGUUCCUCAGUCGCUUGACCUGUCUGUCUAAGAUCUCAACAGGUACUUCCUCAUAGGACAAGUCUUCACCAACCCCCAAACCUUCUACAGGUAGGAUUGAUGCUGGAUCACCUAGGCACUUCUUCAACAUAGAGACAUGAAAGACUGGAUGAACAGAAGCUAGCUCCGCAGGCAAUGCUAACUCAUAGGCCACCUCACCCACGCGCUGUAGGAUCUCAUAUGGCCCCACAUACCUCGGACUAAGCUUCCCUUUUCUACCAAAUCGCAUCACCCCUUUCAUAGGCGAUAUCUUCAAGUAAACCUGGUCACCAACGUUAAAUUCUAAGGGUCGCUUUCUAUUGUCUGCAUAUGACUUUUGUCGGCUGUAAGCGGUAGCCAACCUGUCUCUAAUCAUUCUAACUUUCUCCAAGGCCUCAUGAAUGAUCUCUGGACUCAAAAUAGAUGACUCUCCAACCUCGAACCACCCAACUGGAGAUCUACACCUCCUACCAUACAAUGCCUCAAAUGGUGCCAUCCCAAUGCUGGAGUGGUAGCUAUUAUUAUACGAGAACUCUAUCAAAGGUAGAUGGUCAUCCCAAUUACCUCUAAAGUCAAUCACACACGCUCUCAACAUGUCCUCCAAUGUCUGAAUAGUGCGCUCUGCCUGCCCAUCUGUCUGAGGAUGAAAGGCAGUGCUAAGUUUCACCUGCGUGCCUAAGCUUUUCUGGAAAGAUCUCCAAAAAUGCGAAGUAAACUGAGCUCCUCUAUCUGAAAUAAUAGACAAAGGAAUCCCAUGCCAUCUCACAAUCUCAUCAAUGUAGAGUCUCGCGUAAUCCUCGGCCCUGUAAGUGGACUUCACAGGGAUAAAGUGGGCAGACUUAGUCAGUCUGUCCACAAUAACCCAUAUAGAGUCAUGCUGCCUCCUAGUCCUCGGAAGACCAACUACGAAGUCCAUAUUAAUGGCCUCCCAUUUCCAAGUCGGAACCUCAAUAAUCUGAGUCAGACCACCAGGCUUAAGAUGCUCUGCCUUAACCUGCUGACAAUUAGGACACUUAGCCACAUAGUCUGCAAUAUCCUUCUUCAUGCCAUCCCACCAAUAAAUCUGCUUAAGAUCAUGAUACAUUUUUGUGGAACCUGGAUGUAUGGAAUAUCUGGAACCAUGGGCCUCUGUAACAAUCUUGGUCCGUAAAUCAUCUACAUCUGGUACGCACAACCGGUUCUGGUAUCUAAGUAUGCCAUCAUCUCCCAAAGCAAAAGACUCAUUCAUUUUUAACAACACUGAGUCCUUCAUCUCCAUCAACACAGGAUCGAGAUGCUGACCCUUCUUGACUUCCACUAUCAGGGAUGAUUCAGAACUAGGGUGAACUGAAACACCUCCACUAGUAGAGUCAACCAACCGUACACCCAGCCUGGCCAGUCUGUGUACCUCUUUCACUAGCUCCUUCUUCUCAUCCUCAACGUGGGCUGUACUCCCCAUGCUCAUCCUGCUCAAAGCAUCAGCCACAACAUUAGCCUUACCUGGAUGAUAGUGCACAUUCAUGUCAUAAUCCUUCAGCAGCUCCAACCAUCUGCAUUGCCGUAGAUUCAGCUCUCUCUGCGUGAACACGUACUGGAGACUCUUAUGAUCCGUGAACACAUCCACGUGUACUCCAUAUAGAUAAUGCCUCCAUAACUUCAACGCAAACACCACAGCUGCCAACUCCAAGUCAUGAGUGGGAUAAUUCUUUUCAUGAACCUUGAGCUGUCUGGAAGCAUAAGCUAUCACCUUACCAGCCUGCAUAAGAACACAUCCCAAACCGACCCUAGAUGCAUCGCAAUAGACAGUGUAAUUCUCGCCACUCUUAGGCAGAGUAAGUACCGGGGCUGAAGUGAGUCUGUCCUUGAGCUCCUGGAAACUCUUCUCACAAGUAUCCGUCCAUUCAAACUUGGAUUUAUUCUUUGUCAAGGUUGUAAGUGGGGCAGCAAUGGAAGAAAAUCCUUCCACGAUCCUGCGGUAGUAACCAGCCAAUCCCAGAAAGCUACGGAUAUCGGUGGGUGUAAGAGGCUUUGGCCAUUUCUACACCUUGACCGGACACAACAUGGCCCAGGAAGGUCACUGAUCUCAGCCAGAAUUCACACUUGCUGAAUUUGGCAUACAACUGAUGCUGUCUAAGUACCUGCAAGGUUAGUCUCAAAUGCUGUUCAUGCUCUUCCUUGGUCUUAGAGUAGAUGAGAAUGUCAUCAAUGAAUACUAUGACGAAAGAGUCAAGGUAUUCACGGAAAACUCUGUUCAUGAGGUCCAUAAAUGCAGCAGGUGCAUUCGUGAGACCGAAUGACAUAACCAAGAACUCAUAAUGACCAUAACGGGUACGAAAAGCUGUUUUUGGGACAUCCCUAUCCCUAACUCUAAGUUGAUGAUACCCUGAACGAAGAUCAAUCUUAGAGAAGAAACUAGACCCUUGGAGCUGAUCGAACAAAUCAUCAAUUCUGGGAAGUGGGUACUUAUUCUUUAUAGUGACUUUGUUGAGCUGCCGAUAAUCGAUACACAUUCUAAGGGUCCCAUCCUUUUUCUUUACAAACAACACUGGAGCGCCCCAAGGGGAUAUGCUCGGCUGAAUGAAACCCUUAUCCGUGAGAUCUUUUAACUGCAGCUUCAACUCUUUGAGUUCUGCUGGAGCCAUUCUAUAAGGAGGAAUUGAGAUUGGUUUAGUAUCAGGUUCUAAGUCGAUACCAAAGUCAAUCUCUCGAAGGGGAGGGACUCCAGGCAAAUCUUCAGGAAACACAUCUAGGAAUUCACUUACUACAGGCACCGAGUCUAUGGAAGGAACGUCAUGAUCUAAAUCAUUAACACUCACUAGAUGACAUAGUAACCCUUUGGCCAUCAUUUUAUUGGCCUUGAGAUUUGAAACCAAGGGGUUAGGACGAAUCGGAUUGUACCCCUCCCAGACUAACUCUUCUCCAUUAGGGAAGCGAAACCUCACCACCCUACUACGACAGUCCAAACAAGCAUAAUAGCUGUGAAGCCAGUCCAUGCCAAGAAUAAUAUCAAAAUCGCGCAUGGGUAACUCAAUCAAGUUUGCACACAUAGCCUUGCCACUCACAACUAUUGGGCAAUUCUUGUAUACCCUAUCGGUUCUCACAUUUUCUCCUAAAGGCGUACUAACCACUAUAGGAUCAUGCAGAACUUCAGGUAGUAUUUCAAAGGUAAGGGCAAGCAGAGGAGUCACAAAGGAAAGCGUAGACCCUGGAUCAAGUAAAGCAUAAACAGAAGUUGAGAAUACUUGCAGCAUACCUGUGACCACAUCAGCGGACUUCUCCUGCUCCUCCCUACCUUUCAAGGCAUAAAAUCUGUUCCUCUUCGGAGGUUCGGCUGCUGCUGCAUUAUGUGGGGUAGGCCUAGGCUGAGCAUUACCCCCAGCCUGACCUCUGUUCUGGGGACAGUCUAUGACCAUGUGUCCACUCUUACCACAACCGAAACAGGCAUUAGUGCCCUGUCUACAUUCUCCAAGGUGCAUUCGGCCACACUUAGUACAAGUCUUCCUUGGACGCUGCAUCUCACCUCCAUUGCCCCUCUUGGGUUCGGGUCUGCCUCCUCUAGGCGUUGUAUUUCUCUGAGGGUCAGAAUUUCCAGCACUCUGUUGCCCCUUCUUGAAUUUGGGCUGCUCGCGGACGCCAAAAUUGUUUCUGUGGCCUCCAUGGCUGGGACCUGCCUGAUCUUGAGGCCUAGGCCUCCUAACAUCACGUACACCUCUCCUCUUUCGGCUGUCCUCUACCUAUUGGACAUGCAUCAUUAAUCUAGAAAGGUCCAUAUUAUCAUGGAGCAUCGCAGCCCGACAAUCUUCCUCUAGGUCUCCAUUGAUUCCUGUGAGGAAUCUGCUCAUCUCCUCCCUGCUGGUAGAAACCAAGGGAGUAGCAUACCUGGAUGAUUUCAACAAAGUUAAGUACUCUCAUCAUUCUUGUUAUCAAAUACUAAGGGAAGCACAUACCUUGAUAACUUCACAAACUUCAGGGAAUACUCCCUGACAGUCAUGGAUCCUUGCUUGAGGUUGAUGAACUCCUCAACCUUGGCCUCUUUCAUCUCUCUAGGGAAGAACCUUUCCAAAAAUGCUGUCUUGAACAGCUCCCAGGUGACUGGCACCCCUCCUAGGACACGGCUAUCUCGCCACAUUUUGCACCAAGUCUGUGCAACAUCUUUGAGCUGGUAGGAAGCCAACUCAGCCUUCUCAAUAUCAGUGGCCCCCAUGGCCACCAGUAUCUUAUGCAACUCGUCUAUAAAUUCCUGGGGAUCUUCUGAAGUCUUAGCCCCUGUGAAAAUUGGAGGAUUCAUCCUCGUGAAGUCUCGCAGUCUGUCAGCUAUGCUGCGAGCCGGUGGGUUUUCCCUCAGAACAUCCUGCCGGUUGACUUGGGCAGUCAUAGCUUGGGCCUGCAUCGUGAUGGCCUGUGCCAUCUGGGCUAGAGAUGCCCUCACCUCCGCAUCAGUCAACCCAGCUGGGUUCACUGGCAUGGCCACUCCUUCAGCUGGAGCCUGGGGUGGAUUCUGAUUACCCCUAGCUGCUGCUGCUCCCGUCCUCAGACCCUUAGUUCCCCAGGUAUUCAUUCUCUGAAAACAGCAAGGUUGAUGUUAGACACGUUCGUAACACCAAGAAUUUAAACAUUAGGAAAAGCACAAUAAGAUAAGAAGAAGGGAAGUCUUUCCUACGCAUCGUGCAGUCUCUAAUCCAGGAUAGUGGUGCACUUCACUACCAUGACUUAGAAACUACUCAAUGUGGUUGAUGUGAACUCAUUAUUCGAGGAAUUUAACCUAGCGCUCUGAUACCAACUUUGUCACGACCGGAAUCUAGACCCCAGACGAGACCGGCGUCGUUGACCUCUCGGAGGUCGCAGACAAGCCUGCUUACGUCAUUCUUACUUUACAUAGAUUAAUUUUAGCGGAAAAUUUGAAAUUUUUGAUUCUUUAAUCAUACUUGCUGAACAUUCUUAACAUUUCGUAAUCGUUCAUCAUCAACCAUCUAACAUUUAAGAGAUAAGCAACUGAAAGAAAUAAUUCAUUAAGUAUUAAUUGUAUAUCGGCCAAAAUAGCACCAAUACAAAGUUUGAACCAAAACAGGAAAGAAACGCUAGUGGAACAUGCUCCGCUAGCUCAACUCUAAAACUACGCUAGAAUGUAAAACAGUAGCAUCCUCGAAAGCAUGAGGACCUACCAAACUCCGGAUGAAUACUGAUGUCCGGAUAGCUGCAACAACGAACCUGUAGCUCUAGCGUCCACCUGUGCCUGCACCUAAAAGUAGAUGUUCGUAUGGAAUUAGUACACACUUGUACUAAGUAUGAGUAUAUGCAAGUACACACCAGGGACAUGCAUGAGGAAGAAUAGCUCUUUCCUAACAACAUGAUUUUUGGAAGUCAAGUCAGUGGACUUGCCAAAUUGAGAUUGGGAAAGUUAUGCCAUGAGAGUGACAUGCAUCAUUAUAAUUAUCGUAUAGCACACAAAACAUAACAUAUUCAUAUAACACAUAACAUAUAACACAUACUUUCUUUCAUAUUAUUCAUUCGUAUACCAUGAGACCUUAUUAUCAUAGACUUAACUUUAAGACUUUCCAAAAUGAGGGCUCAACAUAUGGGACCUCAACUAGGGAGCCUUUUUUAGCAAACACAGAGUCUGCUUCACUCAUUCAUUCGUAUUUCAUUUCAAUUCAUUCAUAGGCCAGUGCGAACACCAGGUAUACCUAGGAUGUAGUUUAAGACUCUCAUCGGGUUUGCUGUGCAAUGAUCAGGAAUGACCUAAUGUCAUUACCUGAAUCUAGCUCACCUCUUGAUUAUCCUAUCCUAACACCUUCGGUAUCAUUCAUUUCUUUAUAUGAUUCGUUUGAGGCUGGCCUCAUUCAUUCAUUGGGAACUUUAACUUUAACCGACAUAGAUCAUGUGAGCAUCAUGAAAUCCAGUGUCUUCCCCACACCGAAAAGAGGUGGAAUCACCGGCCAAAGCGAUUCAAUAACAUGCUAGCGUAUAUGGGAAUUUAACCCCGCCAGAUCCCUAUAGUGGCAAUAUAGGUUCAAAGACUAGGAGAUGUAUGGAGACCCAUACCCGGCAAGCCGGACAGUCUCAUCUCAUGAGAAUUACGUGAACCUCCGCCCUUCCCGAAAGAAGGCAUCACCACUCAUAGCUAGCCUAUCGGUGCUCGGUAUAAAGUUCCAUUACAUGCAACUCAUACAUCAUAGAAGUUUGCUUCUAGUAUGAAGACAUCAUAGCUCAAUAGAUGAUUUCUCAUCUCAUCAUUAGUAUUAAGUGUUUUAAACUCAAUAUUUUUAUUAGAGUAUUCAUAGAGACUGGUCUCUUCAUUAUCUUACACUCUCAUUGGUGAGUAUGUAUCGGUAACAUUUACUUAAGCUCAUUUAAGAUUGCUCUCAUCAUAUGCAUUAACCUCACAUCAUGAUUGUCGCCACAUUCUUCAUUUCAUUACGUAUAUCUUAGGUUCACUUAUUCUUGAACGUAUGUUAAACUUAUAUAUCUAUACAUACAAGCCAUGAGGCUUCAUUUAUAGUUCGUUAAGUGAAUUCUUGUUUUUCUAAGAUUAUGUAUUACAAGACUUAUGUAUCUUGUAUAUAUGCCAAGAUCUUUGAUUUUUGAUCUAAGUAGAUGACAUUAUUCUUGAAUAUUUCACUCACGUAUGACUUAUGUAUCAAUACGGAGGUUUGGACACGAGAACCCAAAUUUUGAAUUAUUUGGAUAUCAUUUAUAUUUUUCAUUGAUUUUAGUUCUAAUAUUCAUAAAUUUAGAACUCUAAGUUAAGUCUCAACAUUUUCGUGAAAUAAUAAAUUUUCUAUUUUAAUUAGAAUUCUAAAUUAAAUUUCAAUCAUUUACAUGAAAGAAUAAUUUUCUAAUUUAAUUAGAAUUCCAAUUUAAAUCUCAAUAUUUACAUAAAAGAAUUAAUAUUCUAUUUUUAAUUAAGAUUCUAAAUUAAAUCUCAAUGUUUACAUAAGAGAAUUAAUUUUCCAACUUUAAUUAGAAUUUUAAUUUACUAUUAUUAUUAUUUUUAAUUAAAUUCGCUUGAAUAGGGAGGUUGUGGGUUCGAACCCCCACAGCCCCCCUCAUUUUCCUCUUAAUUUCGCUGGGAAUGGAGGCUGUGAGGUGGUGGGUUCGAACCCCCACAGCCUCACCUUUAUUCCCUUAAUAUUUUUACCCCCCCUUCAGCCCUGAGGUCGCGGGUUCGAUCCCCACGCCUUGCAUCCCCCCUUUUUAUUUAUUUAUUUAUUUAUUUUUUAAUUCUUUGACAUCCCAAAAAUUUCCAGAUUCUUUUUAAACCUAUUUCUAUGUUUUUGGAAAUUUAUUCCACUAUUUUUCUGCACUUUUUCAUCAAGUUUCACAUUAGUUCUUAGGGAGAUUUCAUGGUUCAUUCACUUCACUAUGCUUCAUCAAAAUAAACAUCACAUUGCACACCCAUUUCACACAUAAAAUACAUGAUAAAUAAACAACUUAUAUACCCCAAAACAAUGCCUAAAACACUGCCCUAUACACACCCAUACAUCAACUUUUUCCGAUCAUAUUCUGAUGAUCAUUAUCGCGAUUUCCCGCACAUAAACACAUUCAUAUUUAAUUUAAACACAUCAUUCAUGCAAAAAUCUAGCAGCACAACAUACCCAUCCUACAAAUUCAUUAGGGAGCUAAGGACAAGGACAUACGAAGGGGAACAACCUUAGUUUCAAGAGUUUAAGAAACGUCCGAAAGAAAGUACUCUUGGAGAAAGAAUUCCAUGAGAGAAACUCAUACCUUAAUCGAUGUUCAAACUUUAAUGUUGCUGCCCGGAAAACUCCUCCAAACCACUCCCAAUUCACUUCAAAGUAUACCUCUCUCGACGAACCUCUCUUAGCCUUGACGUUUUGAUUACUUUUUCUUUUGCUUAAAAAUUUUUUUGUGAGUUCUUCAAGCAUGAAAAUUAUUGAUAUUUUGGCAGAAAUAAUGUGAGGAAGAUGGAGAACGUGAGAGAGGGAGUUUAGAAGCGUGAGAGAGAGAGGGCUAAUUGGAUUAGGAGACUAAUUCAAGAAUUAGUCAAAUAACAUUAAAAUAAAUAAAUACAAAUCUGUUUUAUUUAUUUAUUUAUUUAUUCAUUUAAAACGUGAAAGGACAAUUAUGCCCUUAAAUACCUAUUUAUUCUUAUUUACAUAAUUCUCUUUUUUUUUGAAUCGUCACCAGAGCUCUUUCCAACACUCCUAAUCUCUCCAAAAUUAAAUCUAAUGCUCCUUGAAUUCCAGUUUGAGCAUUGCAUACUUCCUCUUGCGAAUUCAGCAGAUCGGAGAGCAUUUCAUCGUGCCUUGCUAUCUUAUCCUCUGUAAUCUUCCAGCGUGUGCCCUCAGCCAUUACACAGGUUCGAAGGCUCUGAUACCAAGUGUUAUGAUCUUCCUAAGAUCACAAGCUCAAUCCACCAACAAAUCAAAAAAUGCAGAAGAAAAUCAACUGUAGAAUUUAUUGAUACCGAAGUUCUUUAUUACAACUACUGAUACUACAACUAUGGAAUCUACUGCUACGCCAUUGAUGAUCUGCAAGGAAACAAGAAGAAGAAAAAGAAGAUUCUGGAUCGAAGAAGAAAGAAGGAAACAGAGAAGAGAAUUGGUGUGACUUAUUUUUCAGUUAUUUCCCUCUCUCUUCCAGCAUGACUACGUAUAACAACCUCCACCAACAACCUGUACCCACGUGUCAUAAUCCUCACCCUCAACUUUCCUUAAUCAACUUCCAAUCUCAUCCGUUCAUUUUAUAUUUCUGUUAACCUUCCUAUUUCCUGUUAUUGCCAUAUUCAAAGAUCGAAUCCCUGCAACCCAUAUUUGUUAUACCUUUAAAUGCUUAACUGUAUAUCAUUAUUGAUCUUACAAAUUGAAUUUUGUAAAUUUAAAUGUCAAUAUGGAAAUUGCACAUUUAUUGCUAAAAACACAUGAGGCUUAAAUGCACAUUAAUCAAGCUAGUAAAUUUGAAUUUCUAAUGCUUAAAACAAAAUUUUAAUUACAACUUGAGAUUUCUAUUGAUAAUUUCAAGCGGAAAAUUAUUAAAAAAACAAAGAAUACUAUAUAAUUUUUUUUAAAACUCCUUUAACAUUAAAUAAGAAUGGUGCUUUUAAAAAUAUUUUGAAAAAAAAAACAUUCCACAAACCAUUUAUUUUACCAUAUACUCUAUCUUUUAUAUAGAAAGAAUACAAGGAUGGACUUAGAAUAUGCCCCAUACUUCAUGAACACAUAUUUUAAAUCUUGAAUAAAUAAAAAUAAUCACAGUAUAACUAUUAGUAAUAUUUUGCUUCUUAAAAUUGAAUCAAACAAAAUAACGUGUGCAUAUAAGUUGAAUCACAGCUAUUUCUAAUCUAUUUCACUCUUUUUCUUUGUCUCUCUCUAAAACCCUAAACCCUAACACUGAACUUCCCCUUUGCAGUUAUAAAGUAGCGUUGGCCGCACAGCCGCCGCCUUGCUCAAUCUCUCCUCGCCGUGAACUACCUCUUCUCUGUCCGCCGCCGAUAAAACUGUGAGUUAUUUUUUCAGCCUGUUAUGUUUCUGACUUUGUGUUCUCUAAUUGUGGUUGAUUUAUAUCAUUGAUGGUUUAGCUGAGUUUAUGGUUGAUUGUAGAACAGUAAAUUUGUUCAAUUGUUAUAGAGGUUGUAGUUGGAUUGGAUUGAAUGGAAGUAUGUGUGAACGACUAGUAGGUAUUAUUAAGCCGGAAGCUUAUUACUACUGUUCUUUUAUUUAUAAAAUAUUAAAAAAAUUAUGUAACUAUCUAUGUCACUGUUCCACGAAAUAAAAUCUGCAGUUCUUUUCCACUAUCCUGUGAGCAUGGAAUUCAAAAAAUUUGGGAGAACUUUGUUAAUGUUUGCCAAAUUGUCACUUUAAUGCUUACUUUUACUUUUAGUGGAUUUUUCUUUGCAAUCACCACUAAGCAGCACCAAGGAAAAGUGACAUUCUUUUUGGGACAAGGCUAAAAAUGUAGAGGGUGCCGCAUAAAUUGGAGUGCUAUAGAAGUUUUGCAUUCAAAUAAAGAGUUCUUUUUUACCAGAUAUGAAGUAUUGAGUAAUUUGGAAGAUGUUGGUUGGGUUAAGGGAAAUUUUGGCUUUGACAAGUUUAGAUGCUGACUGAACUGCGUGUAAUAGUGUUUAUGCAUUAACAUGUGUCUGUAUCUGAAUUAAUGAUAUAGUUCUAGAACUUUGCAAUUUUGUUUUCUCUCAGAAUAUAGAUUAAUAUCGAGGAAUUUAAGCUUAAUGUCCCCGUUCUAUUUUCAUCAAGAAAACAUUGUCUUUUAAGUUUUCAAAAUCUUAUGUAUUUUAGGAACUACCAAAAUUAAACUUAGGAUCUUUGCAAUUUUUUAUAUUUAUUUUCAUCUUAGAAAAUAUCGUACUAUUUUUUAGUACCUCACAAAUUGGAUAUUUGACAUGAUAGACAAAUAUUGGAAUUAUGAGCAUGGAGACGGUUGGGUCUGAGCAAUCAAGAGAGAAAAUGAAGAAAGACAAGAAAAAAAGGAAGGCUGAAACAGAGGGACCUGAUACCCCAUCAACCUCUCACAUUUCUAGCAAUCCUAUGGAGAAGAAGAAGCAAAAAAGAGCUGUAGACAAAGAGAGGCGCAGGGUGGAGACCGAGAAAAAAACCGAAGCCCAGCAAGUAGUGGUGUCCUCUGAAUUGAAAAGUAAUAAGAGCGCGGUGAUUUCUCCCACUACUAGUGGAUUGCCUGAGUUCCACAUUGCUGUAUUUAAGGACCUUGCAGCUGCCGAUGCUUCUAUUAGAGAAGCAGCUGCUAAUUCUUUAGUUGCUGAGUUGAUUGAAGUUCAGAAGGCUUAUGAUAUUCUAGAGAACAAGGAAGUGGUUGAGGGACAGCUCAAAUUGGAAGCUGAAAAGGAUGAUGGGUUGAACAACUGUGCCCCUUCGUUGAGAUAUGCAGUUCGGAGGCUAAUUCGGGGCAUUUCUUCAUCAAGAGAGGUGGGUUAGGUUAACUUUUAGCACAAUGUUCUGUGGGUUUGUUUAAAUUUUGUGCCUUGUUAUAUUUGACGAUUUAAUUUGAAUGCUUCAAUAAGGGCUAUAUGCCUUCACAUUUUCAUUUUAUUGUUGAAUAAUUUUUAGGGAGACUUAUAUCUCUAUGGGUUCUUGUUGACAUACCCAACUGAUGAAAGCACAUUCAUGCUGGAAGGGUUGUAUUGCACAAUACGACGCUUAGGCUGUCUUUCCUGUAUUGACCUUUAAAAGGUUAUUUUAUUUUAGAAUAGAACCAUAAAAGGUUACCUUCUUGCAGGUAGAUACUCACAGCUUGUGUCAUUGAAUUUUUUCAGUAGUCCUAUGGUCUACAGUUUUGAAUUAAAAGGUUAAAUGAUAUAAUGUAGGCUUAAGAGACAGGUGUCUCUUCUGCUUAUAGUCCCAUGUUCCAUGGUUGUCUCGAUCAACUGCUCCCAUAUAAAGCCUCAUCUAUUUCCUUGUUUGUGCAGUGUGCAAGGCAAGGGUUUGCAUUAGGCAUGACAGUGUUGGUUGGUGCUGUUCCAUGCAUAAAAGUGGAUGCCCUGUUGAAGCUUAUUGUUGAAUUAUUGGAGAUCUCUUCUUCCAUGAAGGGUCAGGUGGGAAGGAUCUCCUUUUGUGAAAUGUUACCUUUCUCAAAAAAAAAAUAAUAAGGAUCUCCUUUUGUGAACUGAUAGUUUUCUUAUGGUCUGUCUGAAAAGCUUAACUUGGUUUUGUAGGACAUGAAAGAUUGCCUAUUGGGACGCUUAUUUGCUUACGGAUCUAUUGCAAGAUCAGGGAGAUUAACUUUGGAGUGGACUGCUGAUAAGAACACUCCUUAUAUUAAAGAAUUUGUUGGUUCUCUUGUCUGGCUGGCAAAAAAGAAGCUCUACUUACAAGAGCCUGCUGUCUCAAUUAUUUUGGAAUUGGUUGACAAGGUCUUUCACUUUUACAAGCCUAUGAAUUGCAAAUUUAUUCUCUGUACAUUCACUUUAGUUAUCUAUUGAAAAUGACUUCACUGAUUGCCUUUUCCUGCGUCAUUAUAAACUCGUAUGAGCUCACCAUCCCCUUAUUGAACUUGCAGUUUUUUUUUUUACUUGCCUAUAAAACAUAAAACAUCAUCUCUUCCUACUCUUCCCGCUACAUCUUACUUAUUUUUGGGCAAGAAAAUGUUAUACGCUUAUCCAAAUAAUAUCACCUCUUCCUACAACUAAGCUGUGGUUUUGUUAUGUUGCCGAUUUAACUUUCUUCAUUUAGUGUGUUUUUGCUUCAGCAUGCUGUCCAUUUCACUUUCUUCAUUUAGUUUAUUUUUUGCUUCAGCAUGUUGUCCUCUAUUUGUAGUCUUUGCUUAGGCUGCAUUCAGUUUAGCCGUCUCACCAUCCAUAUUUUUGCCAUGCCAGUUACCUGUUGAAGUUUCAUUGAACCAUGUUCUUGAAGCUCCUGGGCUUAAAGAGUGGUUUGAAAGUGCAACGGAAGUUGGAAAUCCUGAUGCUUUGCUUCUUGCCCUUGCCAUACGUGAAAAAACUGGUGUUGAUAACAAAGAUUUUGGCAAGCUUCUGCCUUUUCCUUAUAGCCCCAGCCGGCUUUUCAGUGUGGAACAUUUGUCCUUGCUUUCCAAUUGCUUGAAGGUGCUACUGAACUUCUUCAUUUUCUUUCCUUGAAAAGGAUUGUUCAUUAGUUUGAUUUUUGUCGACUUUAUGGAUGUGCAGGAAUCCCACUUCUGCUUGCCACGAACUCAUAGUGUAUGGUAUUCCUUGGUAAAUAUUCUUUUACCUGAAAAUGUUCAACAAGAUUUUGAUCCCUCAGCAGCUUUAAAUUCCACAAGGAAGCACAAAAAAGGCCGCAAGGGUAGCUCAGCUGAAGAAGAUAUUGAGAAAAAUCUUAAAAACUUUUGUGAAGUUAUCAUUGAAGGAUCACUUCUUCCAUCAUCUCAUAAUUGCAAGAAUUUGGCGUUCAAUGUUUUGCUGCUUCUCCUUCCAAAAUUGCCCACAUCGUGCAUCUACAACGUCCUGUCUUACAAAGUUGUCCAGUGCUUAAAGGACAUACUUUCUGCGAAAGACACUAAUCUAUUCAAAGCCAGUCAAUACUUUUUAAGAGAAUUUUCUGAGUGGGUCAAGCAUGAUGAUGUUAGAAGAGUGGCAGUUAUUAUGGCUUUACAGAAACAUAGUAAUGGGAAGUUUGAUUGCUUCACCAGGUCAAAAACAGUUAAAGAGUUGAUGGCUGAGUUUAAAACUGAGUCUGGAUGCAUGCUUCUCAUUCAGAACUUAGUUGACAUGUUCCUGGAUGAAGCUCGUGCUUCAGAGGAGACUUCAGAUCAGAGUCAAACUACAGAUGACAACUCAGAAAUUGGUUCCUUAGAAGAUAAGGAUUCUGUUGGAACAGUAGGAACGCCCGAUUUUUUGAAAGGAUGGGUUGUAGAGUCACUUCCAAAUAGCUUGAAGCAUUUAUCUCUGGAUACAAAUGCAAGGUUCAGGGUCCAAAGAGAAAUUCUAAAAUUUUUGGCAGUGCAGGGUCUAUUUUCUUCGACACUUGGAACUGAGGUGACAUCUUUUGAAUUGGAAGAAAAAUUUAGGUGGCCAAAGUCUGCCAUUUCAAGUGCUCUUUGUAGGAUGUGCAUUGAGCAGCUGCAGUUACUGCUAUCCAAUGCUCAAAAAGGCGAAGGACCUCAAGUUGUGCCUAGUGGUCUUGAAGCUAAUGAUCUUGGAGCUUAUUUCAUGAGAUUUCUUACCACAUUGCGAAACAUUCCUUCUGUUUCGCUGUUUAGAUCCUUGGGCGACGAUGAUGAAAAAGCUAUCAAGAAAUUGCAGGCUAUGGAGUCUCAGCUCUCAAGACAGGUGCUAUUUUGUGUUGCUUCAUUUUGUAGAAUCGUAAUAAUGUUACUGACUUCAACACUGGUCAAAGUUUUGUUUCUCUGUGAAACCAAUGCCGCUUGCUUUAGGCCUUUUAAUUCUCUCUUUUAUUGUUUGAUAAGAACGUACUCCAACAUUGGUGUGAGGUAUAUCAGUUAGCUCUUAUCUGAAACAGCCAUAACUUGUUAUUACUCAUCUUAUAUCAAUUAUUGCCAUCAACAACUUGUAUUUUAUUUAUGCAUAUUGACCACUAUUCACCGUGUACAGGAAAGUGAAAACUUAUCAAUAUUAUCUGUGUGGAAGUUUGAUUGUUAAUCCUUUUCUUCUCUGACCUAAAUCUUUUCUCCAAACAAUUGCAGGAGAGAAGCUUGGGUCCAGGUAUUGCCAAAAAUAAGUUACAUUCCAUGAGGUACCUUCUGAUACAAUUGUUGCUUCAAGUCCUACUUCGCCCUCAAGAAUUUUCUGAAGCCGCCUCUGAAUUGGUUAUUUGCUGUACCAAAGCUUUUCGAUCUUCUGAUCUUCUUGCUUCCUCUGGAGAUGAUGAAGCAGAGGGAGAUGAUAGUCCUGAAUUCAUGGAUGUUCUAGUGGACACUAUGCUUUCGUUGCUGCCACAAUCAUCAGCACCGAUGCGGACAGCUAUUGAGCAGGUAAACAAUAGGGAAAAAAAAGCAUAAUAUUCCAUCAGUUCUUAUGGUGAUUUAAUAUUUCCCAAAACCAUGACCUUGUGACAUGCUAGUCAUUAUUUCUAAUGCAUUAUUGCACCUACUGUAUUUUGAUGUGAACUUCAUUCUGAAUCUUUUUGACCAAAUUAAUAAGAGAAGCAACCUAAAAGGAGGUGAAGUUUUUACUUAUACGGAUGUUUUGUCUUAGAAGACUGAGUUCUCAAUCUCAAGCUGUUAGGUGGUGUAGGCGAUAUGAAUUUUCACUGUUCAUGCUGCUCCAUUUAGACCCAUCUCAAUCUUUUUUAGCACUAGAAGUUCUCUACAUAUUUUACUGGCAAACUAACCUCUUGAGAAAUAAUUGUCAAAAAAAAAAGCAUCUUGAGAAAAAACUAGCGGACUCCUAGUCUACAUUGGACUCAAAGUAAGCAUACCAAGAUGACUAUAAUUUAAUCACAACUGAUUCACAUAACCAAUCUUGAUUUUUCCUUAUUGUACCUUGGCCCCUCUCUAAUUAGUGACCAUGAUUUAUGUAAUCUGUUUAGUUCGCUCUUCGGUUUUUAAAGUUUUUUCACCAAUUGUUAACACCCCUAGGUAAUGCAAUAGUUCUCCUGGGAAACAAAAUUCAUGAUGAUAUGUCACUCAUGCUGGACGAUUGGGUCUAUUUAGUUAUCUGAUAGAAGAUAUCUUUUCUUUUUCCUUUUUUCUUUUUAAUUGUUGAAAGGUAAUAUUCAAAUUUUAAGCACAAUAUUCUUAGCACUGCAAGCCUUAUCUAAAGGAAGAUGUGGUUUUUAUAACCAGGACAUUUCUCAUGUCCAAUGACGCAAAGUUUGAAACUCGGUGGAUAAUUGGUUUGGCCUUCUACCCUUUUGCGCUUAAACAUUAGGCUAUUUCGUACGGCAAGAUUCACACUUGUGAUGUGCUCCUAACUUGCACAUCCUGCCCUUUGCUCUUGCCCCUAGACAAAACCCUUCGGGUCAAGUUUUUUCUGAAUACAGGACUCAGUUUAUCCUUUUUCUGUGGUUUUGCACAUGGAUUUACUGUUAAUUAUUUGAUGAGAAAAUAGUGAAUGCAAUGCUUCAUUUAAUUCCUUUAUUGGGAUACACCUGUUUUGGUUUUUAUAUCAAUGGUAUUCCGUCUUGUUUUUCUUUGUUUCCUCUUCGGUUAGUUUUAAACAAAUUGAAUUUUUUAGUCUUCUCUCAAAUUGUUAAAAUUUAUGAUCUUCACUUUGGAAAAACACCUUAUAAUAAUGGUAUCAUAUUUCAAAUUAACUUGACAUGGUCAAUUUUAAGAAUUCGUUAGGACAUGUUUUUGCUGAUCUCUUCAUUACAGAGUUUGCUUAUCAUGCAAAAAUAAUAUUUUCUUGUUCUUUCGGUGGUAAAAGAGGAUAAAAUGUCGAUAGCUCUACACUAUCUUUCCUUGUCCAUUGAUGCUCAACAUUAAAAGCACGUAGUAGAUGCAUAGUACGAGUACAUGGUAAUUGUUGGGAGCUUUUUUUUUUCUUUUUUUUUUUUGCAAAAAUGCUCAUGUUUGCAUUCUUUUUGGAUAACCUUGUAGUCUGGGCUAGUUUGUGCGCCCUUUAAUUAACUCCAUAGGUACUGCACCUCCCACCUUCACAAGUACUGCGUAAUCCAUCCACUAAGUCCUAGGUAAAGGGAAAGAAAUCAUUGGAGUGUUUUUACUCCCUUGGGAUUUGAAAUUGAGACCUCACGACUCGAACCACCUCAUUGAAUACUAGGCAAUACCUUUCUGUGCAUGUAUGAAUACUUGAAAAUUGAUUGUUUCUGUUCUUUUUAAUUAUGUUUCUCUUUGUGAAGUACUUGAGUUUGUUUGGACUCUGCAACAGCUGCUGUUGCUCAGGCUCUUCUUCAGCUACUUAAAAACAUUUUUUCCUUUAUAGGUUUUCAAAUGUUUUUGUGAAGAUGUUACGGAUGAUGGGUUACAUCGAAUGUUGCGGGUUAUAAAGAAAGAUCUCAAACCAGCCAGACACCAAGAAACUGACAGUGAGAAUGAAGAUGACGAUGAUGACGACGUUCUUGACAUUGAAGAGGCUGAGGAAUCUGAUGAAGCAGAGAUGGAUGAAACUGCGGAGAGGCAUGCACAUGUGGAUGACUCAGAGACAGUAGUUGGUGUUGAGGGUGUUACCUCAGAACUUCCUGUAGCUUCUGAUGAUGAUUCUGAUGAGGGAUUAGAUGAUGAUGCAAUGUUCCGCCUGGACACACAUCUUGCUAAAAUGUACAACGCUAAGAAGAACCAGGCUGGUAGUGAAACUGCUCAUUCACAGCUUGCCCUCUUCAAACUUCGUGUCCUCUCGUUGCUGGAGAUUUACCUACACGAAAAUCCAGGCAAGUCUUUCUUCAUUCACUAAGGGGUCGUUUCGUGUGAGGGAUAAGAAUAAAUAGUUGUUCUAUAAAAUUUUGAUGUCUUGUUUGGUUGGCAUGUUUGGAAUAACUUAUCCCACCAUUUAUAGCAUAGUGAUUGGAUAAGUUAUCCCCUAAACAUGGUGGGGAAGUAAUUGAUCUUGGGAUAGGUAGUUCCCAACCAAACAACCCCUAAAGGAUUGCUGUUUCCUGGCUAGGAUGAGGAUGAUUCAUGUAUUUAAAGUAGCAUACUUUUAUCAUCUUUGAUAUUUCUUUAGUUGCUUUGUUUAGAACUCAGCAAACCCAGUACAGUGGUUGGUCAUUAUUUUGCAAUCCCACAUAUAUUACAGGUUUAAGUUAUGAGUUAAAAUAUGUAUUAUUUUAUGUGGAGUAGUAAAUGGAAUAAUUAAUAGAAGGAUUGGUAAUACAUGGAUUAAAGUACUACAAUGAUAAAUUUAUCCUCUAUUACUCCACAGUUAGAUUCUUGGCUUUGGUUAUGGUACUUUCAUGUCCCAGUUCUGUUCCUUGCAUCAUUUUUAUAGAUUUAACAUUUUUUUAUUGACACUGGUAACUUUAGUCUUAGUCUAAACUGCUACCUAUAACUAGCACAUCAAAGAUAUCAUCUGUCCUAGUCCAUCUUGAUCUUCUGUAAGCUAUUCUGCGCACAUCAAAGAUUUAACAUUUUAUCAUGCAUUGUUAAUAAGUUUUUUAUUUUAAGAGUUAUAUAGUUUAUAUUAAUUUCUAAUACAACAAACAAAUAUUAACAACCACAUAUACUGUAAAAUCCCACAAGUGAGGGGAAAACCGGAAAAACAAAUAUGUGAAGAAAUAAUUCAUGCAUUGUGUGAUCCCUACAUAACCAAGCUCUACAUAUCUGACCCCCACAUUACUUAUUCCUUCAUAACCUACAUAUUGAUGCAUUUUGGGGCGAAGUCAAUUAGACUAACUUUUCUCAUUUAAUUUUACAUGUACUAAUUGCUCCUCUUGUGCGUCAUCAUUCCUUGUUCUGUUCAAUUUAAUUAACCGUAUUUCAACCUUAUUUGCCUUGUAUACAUGUUGACUUGUAGAUGCCUAACGUCUCCUAAAGAUGUUGUUGGACUCACUAUUCUUAUGUAUCAAUCACUUUGGGCAUCUUUAUAUGGCAUGUCAUUCCUAUGAUCCUAUCAAAUCCUCGCUUCAGCCUUUCUAUUUUAGUUCUGCAUGUAUGGCUUUUAAUCUGUCGAUUCUCCUCAAAAAUAUUACCUAUUAUAAAUACCAUGAAUAAAAGAUUCUCCUGUAUACACUUUGAUCUUGUGGCUGAAUAUCAUGAUCUGAGGCUUUUGUUCCUCUUGUAUUAAGCACUGCUGUAUACACUAUUUGUUUGAUCUUAUUGAUUCAUUAAGGUGUUAAUUGUUAUCUAAAUUUUCCACUUUGCAGAGAAGCCAAAAGUAGUGAAAAUAUUCUCAAGCCUAGCUCAUGCAUUUGUAAACCCUCACACUACGGAAGGUAACGAACAACUUGGCCAGCGAAUUUGGGGAAUUUUACAGAAGAAAAUCUUCAAGGCAAAGGACUAUCCAAAAGGUGAAGUCAUCGAAUUCCCAGUUCUUAAGUCUCUCUUGGAAAGGAACUUGGUACUGGCAGCAAAACAUUUCAAGAAAAAGAAAUCUGCCUCUAGUUUGUCAAAGAAAAAGCUGUCUGCUGCCUUGAAUAGAUUCAAAAUGAUCAAUUCUCUUGCCCAGAGUUCAAUAUUUUGGAUUUUGAAGAUUAUUGAUACGAAAAAAACGUCCAAAAUCUGAACUUGAGGAGGUUUCUUGUAUAUUCAGAGAAAAACUGGAGGGUUACUUAGAUAGUAAAAGUACUCGAAUGAAGUGCGAGUUUCUAAAAGAAGUCUUUAAAAGGCGACCACGGAUUGGAUAUCCUCUAUUUGGGUUCCUUUUGGAGAAAUGUGCUAGUGCAAAGCUACAGUUUCGUCAAAUUGAAGCUCUUGAACUGGUCAUCGAGAUGUUAAAAUCGUUUGUUUCUUCAAACCCUGAUGACAACAGCCAUUUUGCCGAGUUAGGCAGCCAUCUUGCCAAGUUAGGGUGUCUUGUUAAUGUGUUGUUGAAAAAUAUGCCGGAUAAGGCAUCACGACGAGCUGAUGUUCGUAAGUUUUUUGGAAAAGUGAUUCAGGUCUUAACAGAUGUUGAACUGAGGGCCUUGUUUCUUAAGGCUCUGGAACCUGAUUGUGAAGCUCAACUGAAGGGCAUGUUUCCUGUUUUAAAUCAGUGAAUGGUAGGGGCAAAGGUAUAUGACAAUAUUCAUAAUUCGCAUGUUGGGGUGACCAAUUUGUCAUUGUUUCCUAGCGUUUAAUCAGACCAUAAGUUAUUUAUAAUUUUGUUUACUACUGGAAUUUACUGUUUUCACCAAGAUUUUUCUUGGGUUGUUGAAAAACUUGUAGCAACACCAGUUUUGGUUAUAUGUAAUACUUCAUAGUAACUGUACAAUUCCAAAAUUUUGGCAUACGUGGCGCGAAUUGACAUCUUACCAAUGAUUGUUUCCAUUCGUCAUUCUUCACCCCUAUUAUUUCACGUCAUUAUUUAUCAUUGUGAGUCUAUAGUUGAUAAAUUCGUCUCAGUGAAACAAGAGUAAUUUUUUGCACAAAUUCUUACCAGCCAAUCAUGAAGCCAAAUGAACUUAUCUACACAACGAGAGAACAUCAAGCUUUUUUGACAAUAUGUAGGAGAGUUCAUUAACAGUAGAAAGAUGCAACAGAAGACUCCAAUCUUGGAUUUGAAGAAAAAGAAGGAUAGAAGUACACAAUUCAAAGUAGCUUAAGAAAGAGUGACACAACUCUAGUCUAUAAUGUAACAGAACUUUCUCCUUCAUGGAGAACUUGAACCCGUAAGUGAAGGUCUUUGUUACGCUUUCCUCUUACAAAUUCACAAAUACAAUGGUCAUUUUUCUCCACAAGGUUCCAUCUACAUAAACUGCGCCAUCCACCUACAAGCCAUAUUCUACCGUCCUUCCACUUGUUGAGUUUCGUCACAAAUUCUCUGCCAAUAGAGUCGCGAAUGGUCAUACUUGAAGGCAGUUCAAGUUUGUAGUCCUUUACCACAUCAACCGGAACAUACUGAAUUGGGAACAAAGACUUUGUCAAGUAAGAAAUGAUAUAACGAUUGAACUACAAAAUCAUUCACGAAAUAGUGAAAAUGAUUAUAAUUACCAGUUGAUCUCUCCUCUUUGAUCUUAUUUUUGCUACAAAAUAAGGAUUUUUCGGCUGUGUUGCACGUCCACUUUUGAAUAUAUCUACACCAAAAUGGUCGUGACGAUUCCUCACCUUGCAAGCAAAGGCUGUUUUGCAUCUAGAUUUAGUUGGUUUGGUUCAUAAACAAAAAUCUCAUGAAACACAAAUAUCUACCCAUGUAAUUUUACAAUUUUACUAACAUGAAUUUAAGAAUGAAAGAAAAAUUUUAACAUGUACCAAAAGUAUUAAAAAAUGAAAUUUAACUUUAUUCCAAAAACUAAAACAAAAAGCACCCUUAGGCUUGUUUCGUUAGCCUUUCGAACUUAUUAUCUUAAACAUUUUAUAUGACUUGAAGAUGAUCUCCAAAUAUACAAAGAUUUUCUUUUUUUAAAAAAAAAAAAACUUACUAACAAGAAAAAAGACGAUACAAAAAUAUUAAUUGGUGUUUACCUUUUGAUCGUAGCGCCUCUUUCUUAUGUGUGUUAGUUCUUUGAUUCUCUCCCUCAUCUUCUUCUUCUUCAUCUUCAUCGUCUUCUUCUUCAUCUUCCACGUAACAUGCUACCUUUUUAGUCUCUUUAUAUUCCUCGUCCUUAUCCUCGUCCUCGUCCUCAUCUCGUUCUCCCAUGUACUCCACAUCGUUAUCGUAGGAAGAAAAACUAUUACAGCUAUCACUAGCCCAAUUCUUCUCUUUUGACUCUCUACUCUUUUGAUGUUCAACAAUCAUUUCUUCCGCUUUUAAACCUCCAACUCCGUUCUUUUCACAUUUAGUUCUUCCAAGUAAUUUAAAGUCAAACAUUUUAUUUCCAUCAUAGUCAAAAACAAGAAAAUCUCCAAUCUCUACACUAUUAUCCUCAAUAAAUUUCUCCCAUCCAUACUGAAAAUACAAAUUUCCUCCGAUUUUGUUCACUCCUACAGGCCACAUAUUGCCAAAUCGAUCCCUAAGGUUAAUUUUCAUUGGUAAUUUUCUAUUCUUGUAAUAUGUAAAAGAUGUGGGAAUUUUCUGUGAAAAAACAUAACAAACAAGUAGAAUAACAUCAAUUUUUUUUUCAUCAUAUAGAAAAAUAUUUCAAAAAAAAAAAAAAACUUACGAGCCUCUUUCCACUGUUUUCAGGAGAGAAAAUCUUGACGAAGCCCUUUUCCAUCUUCUCUUUUGUUGUCAAACUUUAAGAGAAUAGAAGAAAAUACAAAAAGAGAAGAGAUUAUAAGAAGAAAAAUAAAAUGAAAAUUCUGAGUAUUGUUCUCUUCUCAAGUAGUAAAUGCAGAAGAGAAAGCUUUUUCCUCAUAUGGAAUACUAUUAAUUUCAAUAAUUCAGUCAAUAUACAAUAUUUGAUUUUCUCUGUUUACUUUUAAUAAUACACAGUCAAUAUACAAUGUUUUACUGUGUGAUUCAUGACAACAUUCUCUAAUUUGAAAAAAUUAUUCUAAAAAAGACCAGACACUCAUUAACAUGCUCUUGUCUAUAAAAAGUAUAAAGACACCACUCCAUAUGAAUUGUUUGGUACAAAAUUUGUAAUGCAAAAUUUAGUAAUAUUUGGUUUGUUGCUUCUCACCGUAUUUUGUAUUUGAAUUUAAACUCUAUAAAAAUGUUUCUUUCCAACUAUAUCUUUAGAAUUUUUCGUUUCAUGUAAUCGGACCAAAGUAGAUAAUUAUAGGACAAUAUUAUUUUUUAUGGUCCUCUAACUAGAUAGGAGAAGAACAAUAUUAUUGUUAUAUUUGUUAUCUUCUCACUUGAAUUAUUUGAAGGUAAAUAACUGUCAUCUUAAUAAAUUGAUCACUAACAAAACUUCAAUUUCAAUUUAUAAAAGGUAGAACGUCUAAUUUAAAACCCUAAAAAACGAUAAAGAAUAGUAAAAUUGAACGAACCAUCUACGUUUACACAUAAAUUACAAAUUGUAAUUUUAAUAUAUAUGCAGCUUUAUAAAUUGUUCAAAAUACAAAUAAUUAGAAAAUCACUUAUAGAUCAAUAUAUAAAACAUUUAAUUAAGAUCACAAACGUCAUGUAGUUUCUCUUUUCCAUUAGUAAAUGUUAAACAACUCACAAUUCAAAUACUCCUUGAUUUAUAUUGAAUUUAUUUAACAACAAACAACUCUCUCUAAAUAGUAAAAUUUUUAAGCUAAUUUACUCAAAUAAACUUACUAAUAUAGAUAUAAAAUAUAGAAUUAAAAAAAAAUUAACAAAUUGAUUAAAAAGAGUUUCGCAAUAUUUUUAUCUUUUCAUCAAUUAAUCCUGAGUGCGGAGUUAAAAGGAUAGAAAAAUUGUCAAAAAUUCUAAAAGGGCAUAUUAAUUUUUUUUUAAAAUCAAAACGGUAAAAUCGCUCACGAUAUAGCGACUUGCCGUCUGAAAAAGAGAAAUCACUGCUAUUAAAUUUGCUUUUUUUUAAAAAUAAUAAUAAAAAAUUAAACAAAUCGCUCCAUACGGAGCGAUUUUCAAAAUCAAUUUUUUUUUUAUAAGUCGCUGCUUCUGCAGCGACUUCCAUUAAAAAUUUUAAUUUUUUUUCUUUUUUGCUUUAUAAUUGGUUGAGAUUGAAAAAAGAAACAGAUCAAUGAAGAAGAUGAAAUGUGGUAAUAUAUAUAGUUAUGAUUUGUAAUUUCUAAUUUAGUUUAACAACUCUAAAAUUUAGCUUCUGAAUGGAACAAAAUCCGUAGUAAAUAAGUAGAGAAGCAAAUAAAAGUAAAAAAUAACCAAGAAAAAAACUGAUUAAAAAAUAGUAAUGAAUAAUGAAGUGAAGAAAGUAGAGUAAAAUGUUUGGAAAAAAAUAAAACAAUUUAUAAAUCUGACCUUGCUUGGUUUAUUGAGAAGACUGCUUAAUUUGAUGCUUUUGUGUUGAGAUAAAUGGAAAAAACUGAGAAAGAAUAUAGAGGAAGGAGAUGGUGGACUUCAAUGAUAUAAAUAUAAUUGUUAAUUAAGUUUUCAAAAAAAAAAAAAUUAAGUGUAAAACAAAAAAUGUGUUAAUUAAGAAUUCAUUUUAUAAACACAUAUAAAGAUCAGUAAAAAUUUAUUUUAUAUAAAAUAAAGCAAAAAAUUAAAAAUUUUAAUACUUAUAAAAAAAAUUAUUUUUUUUGAUUUGAAAAUCGCUCCAUGUGGAGCGAUUUGUUUAAUUUUUUUUUUAAAAAGCAAAUUUAAGAAAUCGCUGCUAUUGCAGCGAUUUCGCUUUUUCAGAAGGCAAAAGUCGUUACAUCGUGAGGGAUUUUACCGUUUUGGUUUUUUAAAAAAAUUGAUAUGUCCUUUUGGAAUUUUUGACAAUUUUUUAAACCCUUUUGAGUCCGCACUCAAUUAAUCCUACUAUAUUAAAUCUUAUAUUAUUUGACCCGAAAUUCCUACUACAUAAAAUUAAAUAUUACCACACAUAAUACCUGUCGUAAUAUACUUCCUACCAAAUGAUCCAUUAUGCAUUUAUUCAACUACUUUAAAAUAGCAAUUUUGGCAUUCUAUUUUCUUUUAAAAGAUAUUAUAGUACCAUGCAAAGUUGAGCUAGUAAUAGAAGUUUGAUGCUAUUCUCUUUGCCAUAGUAAAGAUCUUUUAAUUUUGAUUAAAAACAAAUAUAAAAUCUUUUAAUUUUUUUAAAAUAAAAUUUAUAUAUUUAUAACAAUAUAGAAAAUACUAUAAAUCACAAUAAAUAAUAAUUUAAAAUAUUUAAAAGGCAUAUUAAAAAUUAUACAAACAAAACUUAAUUUGAAUAUCAAGAUAAAAAAUAUGUCACAUAAAUUAGGAGAAAGAAAAUAACAACGAUUACUAAGACAUAUUGUAAAAAAAUCAAAGAGACAAAAAAUAAUGUUGUCAUUAUUGUCGAAUGUCGAGGAAACAACAAAUAAAAUGAAGUUGUACGGUACAAAAAAAUUGAAGUAAAUGUUUUGAUAUUCUAGUAGAUAAAAAUAAUAAUUCUAAUGAAAAAUAUAUCAACUUUAAAUUUUGAAAUUAAAAAAUAAAAAAAUCUCGUGAAAUAUAAUGAAAUAUUUAAAAUAACAAAUAAUUAACAAAGAUGUCCCUUGAUUUAUAAAUUUUAGAUGAUAAGAGGGUAUAUAUUUUGUUCGGUGAAAAUUAUAGUUUUCAAUUAUUUAUUCGAAGUUAAAAGGCCAAUUUCAGAAUCCAUCAAUUAUGCUAUAAAAUGUAUAAUAAGAACUAUAUGGUAAUGAAUAACUUGAGUUCUACAGAAUUUAUGUUAAAGCAAGGCAAAGGUCUUGUUGUAGACACCACAAGCUAUGUUGAAAAAGACAAAACUUAAUUUUUACAGUCAAAUUAAGGUAAAGUUCUAUUUUAUAAUUAAAAGUUAAUGUCAUAAAAUACGUGACUUAAUUUCUACAAAUUUUAUACCUAGUAAGGUAGAAGUUUAGUUUCUGAACCAUCAAGUUAUGUCGUUAAAUGUAUAACUCAAUCCCUGCAAUAUUUACAGAGAGCUGCAUAAAAAAAUUUGAAACUUAUAUUGAGUAAUUAAAUUAUACAAAUACUAAACAACUUAUGUCGCACAAGUUAAAUACUUAUAGAAUUUAUUCCGAGCAACUUAGGUCAUAUAUAAGAGUUAUUUAGUAAAAAAAAAAAAUUCAUUAAAUGAGUAGUAAUAAAAAAAAAUUAAGACUACGUAAAGACCACCAUACUGAAGGAAAAAAAAUCAAACACUACACUGAAAUAGAAAGAGGAGGAUGCUAGAAAGAGUGAAAUAUUAUAAUUGUAAUGUAUAAUUUUUUUAAAUAUAGCUAUGGAUGUUAGAUACAUAGUAUACAUUACUAUAUCAUGUACUAAACUUCUUCUUUUUUUUUCAAAUUAAUGAGGGAUAAAAGUAAGUUUCAGUGAAAAUAUUUAAAAUUAUGUAAUCAAACUAAUAUAUUGCAUAUAGUCAUAAAAUAAAUUUCUUUAGUCGAAAAUGAACAAAGAAAGAAUUCUUAAAGAAUAUAAUAUAUUAUAUUAUUUUUAUAUUAGGCAUUGCUAAAUGGUGCGGCUAUAUAUAGUUGGCAUUUGGCUUCUUCUUUGUAAAUUCUAAAACCCUAUAAAAACCCUAACACGGUCCGACCCGAACCAGUCUCACUCUGCCGAUGACUUCCGCCGGCCUGCUCCUCCGUCGUUCUGCCCAUAAAAUUGUAAGAUGUUUGUCUUAUUCUCUUAGAUCUUUCAUAUUCUGAGAUUUUAAAUCUUGUUGUGAAUGGUUUGAUCUUACUGUUUCCGAAUUAAAAAAUUACAAACAUUUUUUUAUUAAAUUAAACAUCACUUCAAAGAGGUUGAUUUGUGUUAUUGAUAGUUAUAGCUCUGAGUUUAUGGGUAAAGAAAUAAGAAUAUGUUCGUUCAAUUGUCUCUGUCUGUGGGAGAUCAACAUUAUGAUUAUAGAGAUUGUCCGGUGAAUUACAUUGAACACAAAACAGAUGGGACCAUACACCCGUAAGCAGACUCCACUGUUAUGAAAAAAACUGAACACUACUGAUAUUUUAAAUUUUACAGUCAAUGGUUUUAGCUUACUAUAUCACGUUCUUGAUUUGAAAUAAAUAUCCCUUCUUGAUUUCUUGAAAGAGUUGAUUUUUGUUGUUGAUUGCUUAGCUCUGAGUUUAUGAGUAAAGAAUGUGUUCUAUUUUCUGUGGGAGAUCAAGAUUAUGGUUAUAGAGAUAUUCCGGUGAAUUACAUUGAAAUUUUUGAUUCUUUAAUCAUACUUGCUGAACAUUCUUAACAUUUCGUAAUCGUUCAUCAUCAACCAUCUAACAUUUAAGAGAUAAGCAACUGAAAGAAAUAAUUCAUUAAGUAUUAAUUGUAUAUCGGCCAAAAUAGCACCAAUACAAAGUUUGAACCAAAACAGGAAAGAAACGCUAGUGGAACAUGCUCCGCUAGCUCAACUCUAAAACUACGCUAGAAUGUAAAACAGUAGCAUCCUCGAAAGCAUGAGGACCUACCAAACUCCGGAUGAAUACUGAUGUCCGGAUAGCUGCAACAACAAACCUGUAGCUCUAGCGUCCACCUGUGCCUGCACCUAAAAGUAGAUGUUCGUAUGGAAUUAGUACACACUUGUACUAAGUAUGAGUAUAUGCAAGUACACACCAGGGACAUGCAUGAGGAAGAAUAGCUCUUUCCUAACAACAUGAUUUUUGGAAGUCAAGUCAGUGGACUUGCCAAAUUGAGAUUGGGAAAGUUAUGCCAUGAGAGUGACAUGCAUCAUUAUAAUUAUCGUAUAGCACACAAAACAUAACAUAUUCAUAUAACACAUAACAUAUAACACAUACUUUCUUUCAUAUUAUUCAUUCGUAUACCAUGAGACCUUAUUAUCAUAGACUUAACUUUAAGACUUUCCAAAAUGAGGGCUCAACAUAUGGGACCUCAACUAGGGAGCCUUCUUUAGCAAACACAGAGUCUGCUUCACUCAUUCAUUCGUAUUUCAUUUCAAUUCAUUCAUAGGCCAGUGCGAACACCAGGUAUACCUAGGAUGUAGUUUAAGACUCUCAUCGGGUUUGCUGUGCAAUGAUCAGGAAUGACCUAAUGUCAUUACCUGAAUCUAGCUCACCUCUUGAUUAUCCUAUCCUAACACCUUCGGUAUCAUUCAUUUCUUUAUAUGAUUCGUUUGAGGCUGGCCUCAUUCAUUCAUUGGGAACUUUAACUUUAACCGACAUAGAUCAUGUGAGCAUCAUGAAAUCCAGUGUCUUCCCCACACCGAAAAGAGGUGGAAUCACCGGCCAAAGCGAUUCAAUAACAUGCUAGCGUAUAUGGGAAUUUAACCCCGCCAGAUCCCUAUAGUGGCAAUAUAGGUUCAAAGACUAGGAGAUGUAUGGAGACCCAUACCCGGCAAGCCGGACAGUCUCAUCUCAUGAGAAUUACGUGAACCUCCGCCCUUCCCGAAAGAAGGCAUCACCACUCAUAGCUAGCCUAUCGGUGCUCGGUAUAAAGUUCCAUUACAUGCAACUCAUACAUCAUAGAAGUUUGCUUCUAGUAUGAAGACAUCAUAGCUCAAUAGAUGAUUUCUCAUCUCAUCAUUAGUAUUAAGUGUUUUAAACUCAAUAUUUUUAUUAGAGUAUUCAUAGAGACUGGUCUCUUCAUUAUCUUACACUCUCAUUGGUGAGUAUGUAUCGGUAACAUUUACUUAAGCUCAUUUAAGAUUGCUCUCAUCAUAUGCAUUAACCUCACAUCAUGAUUGUCGCCACAUUCUUCAUUUCAUUACGUAUAUCUUAGGUUCACUUAUUCUUGAACGUAUGUUAAACUUAUAUAUCUAUACAUACAAGCCAUGAGGCUUCAUUUAUAGUUCGUUAAGUGAAUUCUUGUUUUUCUAAGAUUAUGUAUUACAAGACUUAUGUAUCUUGUAUAUAUGCCAAGAUCUUUGAUUUUUGAUCUAAGUAGAUGACAUUAUUCUUGAAUAUUUCACUCACGUAUGACUUAUGUAUCAAUACGGAGGUUUGGACACGAGAACCCAAAUUUUGAAUUAUUUGGAUAUCAUUUAUAUUUUUCAUUGAUUUUAGUUCUAAUAUUCAUAAAUUUAGAACUCUAAGUUAAGUCUCAACAUUUUCGUGAAAUAAUAAAUUUUCUAUUUUAAUUAGAAUUCUAAAUUAAAUUUCAAUCAUUUACAUGAAAGAAUAAUUUUCUAAUUUAAUUAGAAUUCCAAUUUAAAUCUCAAUAUUUACAUAAAAGAAUUAAUAUUCUAUUUUUAAUUAAGAUUCUAAAUUAAAUCUCAAUGUUUACAUAAGAGAAUUAAUUUUCCAACUUUAAUUAGAAUUUUAAUUUACUAUUAUUAUUAUUUUUAAUUAAAUUCGCUUGAAUAGGGAGGUUGUGGGUUCGAACCCCCACAGCCCCCCUCAUUUUCCUCUUAAUUUCGCUGGGAAUGGAGGCUGUGAGGUGGUGGGUUCGAACCCCCACAGCCUCACCUUUAUUCCCUUAAUAUUUUUACCCCCCCUUCAGCCCUGAGGUCGCGGGUUCGAUCCCCACGCCUUGCAUCCCCCCUUUUUAUUUAUUUAUUUAUUUAUUUUUUAAUUCUUUGACAUCCCAAAAAUUUCCAGAUUCUUUUUAAACCUAUUUCUAUGUUUUUGGAAAUUUAUUCCACUAUUUUUCUGCACUUUUUCAUCAAGUUUCACAUUAGUUCUUAGGGAGAUUUCAUGGUUCAUUCACUUCACUAUGCUUCAUCAAAAUAAACAUCACAUUGCACACCCAUUUCACACAUAAAAUACAUGAUAAAUAAACAACUUAUAUACCCCAAAACAAUGCCUAAAACACUGCCCUAUACACACCCAUACAUCAACUUUUUCCGAUCAUAUUCUGAUGAUCAUUAUCGCGAUUUCCCGCACAUAAACACAUUCAUAUUUAAUUUAAACACAUCAUUCAUGCAAAAAUCUAGCAGCACAACAUACCCAUCCUACAAAUUCAUUAGGGAGCUAAGGACAAGGACAUACGAAGGGGAACAACCUUAGUUUCAAGAGUUUAAGAAACGUCCGAAAGAAAGUACUCUUGGAGAAAGAAUUCCAUGAGAGAAACUCAUACCUUAAUCGAUGUUCAAACUUUAAUGUUGCUGCCCGGAAAACUCCUCCAAACCACUCCCAAUUCACUUCAAAGUAUACCUCUCUCGACGAACCUCUCUUAGCCUUGACGUUUUGAUUACUUUUUCUUUUGCUUAAAAAUUUUUUUGUGAGUUCUUCAAGCAUGAAAAUUAUUGAUAUUUUGGCAGAAAUAAUGUGAGGAAGAUGGAGAACGUGAGAGAGGGAGUUUAGAAGCGUGAGAGAGAGAGGGCUAAUUGGAUUAGGAGACUAAUUCAAGAAUUAGUCAAAUAACAUUAAAAUAAAUAAAUACAAAUCUGUUUUAUUUAUUUAUUUAUUUAUUCAUUUAAAACGUGAAAGGACAAUUAUGCCCUUAAAUACCUAUUUAUUCUUAUUUACAUAAUUCUCUUUUUUUUUGAAUCGUCACCAGAGCUCUUUCCAACACUCCUAAUCUCUCCAAAAUUAAAUCUAAUGCUCCUUGAAUUCCAGUUUGAGCAUUGCAUACUUCCUCUUGCGAAUUCAGCAGAUCGGAGAGCAUUUCAUCGUGCCUUGCUAUCUUAUCCUCUGUAAUCUUCCAGCGUGUGCCCUCAGCCAUUACACAGGUUCGAAGGCUCUGAUACCAAGUGUUAUGAUCUUCCUAAGAUCACAAGCUCAAUCCACCAACAAAUCAAAAAAUGCAGAAGAAAAUCAACUGUAGAAUUUAUUGAUACCGAAGUUCUUUAUUACAACUACUGAUACUACAACUAUGGAAUCUACUGCUACGCCAUUGAUGAUCUGCAAGGAAACAAGAAGAAGAAAAAGAAGAUUCUGGAUCGAAGAAGAAAGAAGGAAACAGAGAAGAGAAUUGGUGUGACUUAUUUUUCAGUUAUUUCCCUCUCUCUUCCAGCAUGACUACGUAUAACAACCUCCACCAACAACCUGUACCCACGUGUCAUAAUCCUCACCCUCAACUUUCCUUAAUCAACUUCCAAUCUCAUCCGUUCAUUUUAUAUUUCUGUUAACCUUCCUAUUUCCUGUUAUUGCCAUAUUCAAAGAUCGAAUCCCUGCAACCCAUAUUUGUUAUACCUUUAAAUGCUUAACUGUAUAUCAUUAUUGAUCUUACAAAUUGAAUUUUGUAAAUUUAAAUGUCAAUAUGGAAAUUGCACAUUUAUUGCUAAAAACACAUGAGGCUUAAAUGCACAUUAAUCAAGCUAGUAAAUUUGAAUUUCUAAUGCUUAAAACAAAAUUUUAAUUACAACUUGAGAUUUCUAUUGAUAAUUUCAAGCGGAAAAUUAUUAAAAAAACAAAGAAUACUAUAUAAUUUUUUUUAAAACUCCUUUAACAUUAAAUAAGAAUGGUGCUUUUAAAAAUAUUUUGAAAAAAAAACAUUCCACAAACCAUUUAUUUUACCAUAUACUCUAUCUUUUAUAUAGAAAGAAUACAAGGAUGGACUUAGAAUAUGCCCCAUACUUCAUGAACACAUAUUUUAAAUCUUGAAUAAAUAAAAAUAAUCACAGUAUAACUAUUAGUAAUAUUUUGCUUCUUAAAAUUGAAUCAAACAAAAUAACGUGUGCAUAUAAGUUGAAUCACAGCUAUUUCUAAUCUAUUUCACUCUUUUUCUUUGUCUCUCUCUAAAACCCUAAACCCUAACACUGAACUUCCCCUUUGCAGUUAUAAAGUAGCGUUGGCCGCACAGCCGCCGCCUUGCUCAAUCUCUCCUCGCCGUGAACUACCUCUUCUCUGUCCGCCGCCGAUAAAACUGUGAGUUAUUUUUUCAGCCUGUUAUGUUUCUGACUUUGUGUUCUCUAAUUGUGGUUGAUUUAUAUCAUUGAUGGUUUAGCUGAGUUUAUGGUUGAUUGUAGAACAGUAAAUUUGUUCAAUUGUUAUAGAGGUUGUAGUUGGAUUGGAUUGAAUGGAAGUAUGUGUGAACGACUAGUAGGUAUUAUUAAGCCGGAAGCUUAUUACUACUGUUCUUUUAUUUAUAAAAUAUUAAAAAAAUUAUGUAACUAUCUAUGUCACUGUUCCACGAAAUAAAAUCUGCAGUUCUUUUCCACUAUCCUGUGAGCAUGGAAUUCAAAAAAUUUGGGAGAACUUUGUUAAUGUUUGCCAAAUUGUCACUUUAAUGCUUACUUUUACUUUUAGUGGAUUUUUCUUUGCAAUCACCACUAAGCAGCACCAAGGAAAAGUGACAUUCUUUUUGGGACAAGGCUAAAAAUGUAGAGGGUGCCGCAUAAAUUGGAGUGCUAUAGAAGUUUUGCAUUCAAAUAAAGAGUUCUUUUUUACCAGAUAUGAAGUAUUGAGUAAUUUGGAAGAUGUUGGUUGGGUUAAGGGAAAUUUUGGCUUUGACAAGUUUAGAUGCUGACUGAACUGCGUGUAAUAGUGUUUAUGCAUUAACAUGUGUCUGUAUCUGAAUUAAUGAUAUAGUUCUAGAACUUUGCAAUUUUGUUUUCUCUCAGAAUAUAGAUUAAUAUCGAGGAAUUUAAGCUUAAUGUCCCCGUUCUAUUUUCAUCAAGAAAACAUUGUCUUUUAAGUUUUCAAAAUCUUAUGUAUUUUAGGAACUACCAAAAUUAAACUUAGGAUCUUUGCAAUUUUUUAUAUUUAUUUUCAUCUUAGAAAAUAUCGUACUAUUUUUUAGUACCUCACAAAUUGGAUAUUUGACAUGAUAGACAAAUAUUGGAAUUAUGAGCAUGGAGACGGUUGGGUCUGAGCAAUCAAGAGAGAAAAUGAAGAAAGACAAGAAAAAAAGGAAGGCUGAAACAGAGGGACCUGAUACCCCAUCAACCUCUCACAUUUCUAGCAAUCCUAUGGAGAAGAAGAAGCAAAAAAGAGCUGUAGACAAAGAGAGGCGCAGGGUGGAGACCGAGAAAAAAACCGAAGCCCAGCAAGUAGUGGUGUCCUCUGAAUUGAAAAGUAAUAAGAGCGCGGUGAUUUCUCCCACUACUAGUGGAUUGCCUGAGUUCCACAUUGCUGUAUUUAAGGACCUUGCAGCUGCCGAUGCUUCUAUUAGAGAAGCAGCUGCUAAUUCUUUAGUUGCUGAGUUGAUUGAAGUUCAGAAGGCUUAUGAUAUUCUAGAGAACAAGGAAGUGGUUGAGGGACAGCUCAAAUUGGAAGCUGAAAAGGAUGAUGGGUUGAACAACUGUGCCCCUUCGUUGAGAUAUGCAGUUCGGAGGCUAAUUCGGGGCAUUUCUUCAUCAAGAGAGGUGGGUUAGGUUAACUUUUAGCACAAUGUUCUGUGGGUUUGUUUAAAUUUUGUGCCUUGUUAUAUUUGACGAUUUAAUUUGAAUGCUUCAAUAAGGGCUAUAUGCCUUCACAUUUUCAUUUUAUUGUUGAAUAAUUUUUAGGGAGACUUAUAUCUCUAUGGGUUCUUGUUGACAUACCCAACUGAUGAAAGCACAUUCAUGCUGGAAGGGUUGUAUUGCACAAUACGACGCUUAGGCUGUCUUUCCUGUAUUGACCUUUAAAAGGUUAUUUUAUUUUAGAAUAGAACCAUAAAAGGUUACCUUCUUGCAGGUAGAUACUCACAGCUUGUGUCAUUGAAUUUUUUCAGUAGUCCUAUGGUCUACAGUUUUGAAUUAAAAGGUUAAAUGAUAUAAUGUAGGCUUAAGAGACAGGUGUCUCUUCUGCUUAUAGUCCCAUGUUCCAUGGUUGUCUCGAUCAACUGCUCCCAUAUAAAGCCUCAUCUAUUUCCUUGUUUGUGCAGUGUGCAAGGCAAGGGUUUGCAUUAGGCAUGACAGUGUUGGUUGGUGCUGUUCCAUGCAUAAAAGUGGAUGCCCUGUUGAAGCUUAUUGUUGAAUUAUUGGAGAUCUCUUCUUCCAUGAAGGGUCAGGUGGGAAGGAUCUCCUUUUGUGAAAUGUUACCUUUCUCAAAAAAAAAAUAAUAAGGAUCUCCUUUUGUGAACUGAUAGUUUUCUUAUGGUCUGUCUGAAAAGCUUAACUUGGUUUUGUAGGACAUGAAAGAUUGCCUAUUGGGACGCUUAUUUGCUUACGGAUCUAUUGCAAGAUCAGGGAGAUUAACUUUGGAGUGGACUGCUGAUAAGAACACUCCUUAUAUUAAAGAAUUUGUUGGUUCUCUUGUCUGGCUGGCAAAAAAGAAGCUCUACUUACAAGAGCCUGCUGUCUCAAUUAUUUUGGAAUUGGUUGACAAGGUCUUUCACUUUUACAAGCCUAUGAAUUGCAAAUUUAUUCUCUGUACAUUCACUUUAGUUAUCUAUUGAAAAUGACUUCACUGAUUGCCUUUUCCUGCGUCAUUAUAAACUCGUAUGAGCUCACCAUCCCCUUAUUGAACUUGCAGUUUUUUUUUUUACUUGCCUAUAAAACAUAAAACAUCAUCUCUUCCUACUCUUCCCGCUACAUCUUACUUAUUUUUGGGCAAGAAAAUGUUAUACGCUUAUCCAAAUAAUAUCACCUCUUCCUACAACUAAGCUGUGGUUUUGUUAUGUUGCCGAUUUAACUUUCUUCAUUUAGUGUGUUUUUGCUUCAGCAUGCUGUCCAUUUCACUUUCUUCAUUUAGUUUAUUUUUUGCUUCAGCAUGUUGUCCUCUAUUUGUAGUCUUUGCUUAGGCUGCAUUCAGUUUAGCCGUCUCACCAUCCAUAUUUUUGCCAUGCCAGUUACCUGUUGAAGUUUCAUUGAACCAUGUUCUUGAAGCUCCUGGGCUUAAAGAGUGGUUUGAAAGUGCAACGGAAGUUGGAAAUCCUGAUGCUUUGCUUCUUGCCCUUGCCAUACGUGAAAAAACUGGUGUUGAUAACAAAGAUUUUGGCAAGCUUCUGCCUUUUCCUUAUAGCCCCAGCCGGCUUUUCAGUGUGGAACAUUUGUCCUUGCUUUCCAAUUGCUUGAAGGUGCUACUGAACUUCUUCAUUUUCUUUCCUUGAAAAGGAUUGUUCAUUAGUUUGAUUUUUGUCGACUUUAUGGAUGUGCAGGAAUCCCACUUCUGCUUGCCACGAACUCAUAGUGUAUGGUAUUCCUUGGUAAAUAUUCUUUUACCUGAAAAUGUUCAACAAGAUUUUGAUCCCUCAGCAGCUUUAAAUUCCACAAGGAAGCACAAAAAAGGCCGCAAGGGUAGCUCAGCUGAAGAAGAUAUUGAGAAAAAUCUUAAAAACUUUUGUGAAGUUAUCAUUGAAGGAUCACUUCUUCCAUCAUCUCAUAAUUGCAAGAAUUUGGCGUUCAAUGUUUUGCUGCUUCUCCUUCCAAAAUUGCCCACAUCGUGCAUCUACAACGUCCUGUCUUACAAAGUUGUCCAGUGCUUAAAGGACAUACUUUCUGCGAAAGACACUAAUCUAUUCAAAGCCAGUCAAUACUUUUUAAGAGAAUUUUCUGAGUGGGUCAAGCAUGAUGAUGUUAGAAGAGUGGCAGUUAUUAUGGCUUUACAGAAACAUAGUAAUGGGAAGUUUGAUUGCUUCACCAGGUCAAAAACAGUUAAAGAGUUGAUGGCUGAGUUUAAAACUGAGUCUGGAUGCAUGCUUCUCAUUCAGAACUUAGUUGACAUGUUCCUGGAUGAAGCUCGUGCUUCAGAGGAGACUUCAGAUCAGAGUCAAACUACAGAUGACAACUCAGAAAUUGGUUCCUUAGAAGAUAAGGAUUCUGUUGGAACAGUAGGAACGCCCGAUUUUUUGAAAGGAUGGGUUGUAGAGUCACUUCCAAAUAGCUUGAAGCAUUUAUCUCUGGAUACAAAUGCAAGGUUCAGGGUCCAAAGAGAAAUUCUAAAAUUUUUGGCAGUGCAGGGUCUAUUUUCUUCGACACUUGGAACUGAGGUGACAUCUUUUGAAUUGGAAGAAAAAUUUAGGUGGCCAAAGUCUGCCAUUUCAAGUGCUCUUUGUAGGAUGUGCAUUGAGCAGCUGCAGUUACUGCUAUCCAAUGCUCAAAAAGGCGAAGGACCUCAAGUUGUGCCUAGUGGUCUUGAAGCUAAUGAUCUUGGAGCUUAUUUCAUGAGAUUUCUUACCACAUUGCGAAACAUUCCUUCUGUUUCGCUGUUUAGAUCCUUGGGCGACGAUGAUGAAAAAGCUAUCAAGAAAUUGCAGGCUAUGGAGUCUCAGCUCUCAAGACAGGUGCUAUUUUGUGUUGCUUCAUUUUGUAGAAUCGUAAUAAUGUUACUGACUUCAACACUGGUCAAAGUUUUGUUUCUCUGUGAAACCAAUGCCGCUUGCUUUAGGCCUUUUAAUUCUCUCUUUUAUUGUUUGAUAAGAACGUACUCCAACAUUGGUGUGAGGUAUAUCAGUUAGCUCUUAUCUGAAACAGCCAUAACUUGUUAUUACUCAUCUUAUAUCAAUUAUUGCCAUCAACAACUUGUAUUUUAUUUAUGCAUAUUGACCACUAUUCACCGUGUACAGGAAAGUGAAAACUUAUCAAUAUUAUCUGUGUGGAAGUUUGAUUGUUAAUCCUUUUCUUCUCUGACCUAAAUCUUUUCUCCAAACAAUUGCAGGAGAGAAGCUUGGGUCCAGGUAUUGCCAAAAAUAAGUUACAUUCCAUGAGGUACCUUCUGAUACAAUUGUUGCUUCAAGUCCUACUUCGCCCUCAAGAAUUUUCUGAAGCCGCCUCUGAAUUGGUUAUUUGCUGUACCAAAGCUUUUCGAUCUUCUGAUCUUCUUGCUUCCUCUGGAGAUGAUGAAGCAGAGGGAGAUGAUAGUCCUGAAUUCAUGGAUGUUCUAGUGGACACUAUGCUUUCGUUGCUGCCACAAUCAUCAGCACCGAUGCGGACAGCUAUUGAGCAGGUAAACAAUAGGGAAAAAAAAGCAUAAUAUUCCAUCAGUUCUUAUGGUGAUUUAAUAUUUCCCAAAACCAUGACCUUGUGACAUGCUAGUCAUUAUUUCUAAUGCAUUAUUGCACCUACUGUAUUUUGAUGUGAACUUCAUUCUGAAUCUUUUUGACCAAAUUAAUAAGAGAAGCAACCUAAAAGGAGGUGAAGUUUUUACUUAUACGGAUGUUUUGUCUUAGAAGACUGAGUUCUCAAUCUCAAGCUGUUAGGUGGUGUAGGCGAUAUGAAUUUUCACUGUUCAUGCUGCUCCAUUUAGACCCAUCUCAAUCUUUUUUAGCACUAGAAGUUCUCUACAUAUUUUACUGGCAAACUAACCUCUUGAGAAAUAAUUGUCAAAAAAAAAAGCAUCUUGAGAAAAAACUAGCGGACUCCUAGUCUACAUUGGACUCAAAGUAAGCAUACCAAGAUGACUAUAAUUUAAUCACAACUGAUUCACAUAACCAAUCUUGAUUUUUCCUUAUUGUACCUUGGCCCCUCUCUAAUUAGUGACCAUGAUUUAUGUAAUCUGUUUAGUUCGCUCUUCGGUUUUUAAAGUUUUUUCACCAAUUGUUAACACCCCUAGGUAAUGCAAUAGUUCUCCUGGGAAACAAAAUUCAUGAUGAUAUGUCACUCAUGCUGGACGAUUGGGUCUAUUUAGUUAUCUGAUAGAAGAUAUCUUUUCUUUUUCCUUUUUUCUUUUUAAUUGUUGAAAGGUAAUAUUCAAAUUUUAAGCACAAUAUUCUUAGCACUGCAAGCCUUAUCUAAAGGAAGAUGUGGUUUUUAUAACCAGGACAUUUCUCAUGUCCAAUGACGCAAAGUUUGAAACUCGGUGGAUAAUUGGUUUGGCCUUCUACCCUUUUGCGCUUAAACAUUAGGCUAUUUCGUACGGCAAGAUUCACACUUGUGAUGUGCUCCUAACUUGCACAUCCUGCCCUUUGCUCUUGCCCCUAGACAAAACCCUUCGGGUCAAGUUUUUUCUGAAUACAGGACUCAGUUUAUCCUUUUUCUGUGGUUUUGCACAUGGAUUUACUGUUAAUUAUUUGAUGAGAAAAUAGUGAAUGCAAUGCUUCAUUUAAUUCCUUUAUUGGGAUACACCUGUUUUGGUUUUUAUAUCAAUGGUAUUCCGUCUUGUUUUUCUUUGUUUCCUCUUCGGUUAGUUUUAAACAAAUUGAAUUUUUUAGUCUUCUCUCAAAUUGUUAAAAUUUAUGAUCUUCACUUUGGAAAAACACCUUAUAAUAAUGGUAUCAUAUUUCAAAUUAACUUGACAUGGUCAAUUUUAAGAAUUCGUUAGGACAUGUUUUUGCUGAUCUCUUCAUUACAGAGUUUGCUUAUCAUGCAAAAAUAAUAUUUUCUUGUUCUUUCGGUGGUAAAAGAGGAUAAAAUGUCGAUAGCUCUACACUAUCUUUCCUUGUCCAUUGAUGCUCAACAUUAAAAGCACGUAGUAGAUGCAUAGUACGAGUACAUGGUAAUUGUUGGGAGCUUUUUUUUUUCUUUUUUUUUUUUGCAAAAAUGCUCAUGUUUGCAUUCUUUUUGGAUAACCUUGUAGUCUGGGCUAGUUUGUGCGCCCUUUAAUUAACUCCAUAGGUACUGCACCUCCCACCUUCACAAGUACUGCGUAAUCCAUCCACUAAGUCCUAGGUAAAGGGAAAGAAAUCAUUGGAGUGUUUUUACUCCCUUGGGAUUUGAAAUUGAGACCUCACGACUCGAACCACCUCAUUGAAUACUAGGCAAUACCUUUCUGUGCAUGUAUGAAUACUUGAAAAUUGAUUGUUUCUGUUCUUUUUAAUUAUGUUUCUCUUUGUGAAGUACUUGAGUUUGUUUGGACUCUGCAACAGCUGCUGUUGCUCAGGCUCUUCUUCAGCUACUUAAAAACAUUUUUUCCUUUAUAGGUUUUCAAAUGUUUUUGUGAAGAUGUUACGGAUGAUGGGUUACAUCGAAUGUUGCGGGUUAUAAAGAAAGAUCUCAAACCAGCCAGACACCAAGAAACUGACAGUGAGAAUGAAGAUGACGAUGAUGACGACGUUCUUGACAUUGAAGAGGCUGAGGAAUCUGAUGAAGCAGAGAUGGAUGAAACUGCGGAGAGGCAUGCACAUGUGGAUGACUCAGAGACAGUAGUUGGUGUUGAGGGUGUUACCUCAGAACUUCCUGUAGCUUCUGAUGAUGAUUCUGAUGAGGGAUUAGAUGAUGAUGCAAUGUUCCGCCUGGACACACAUCUUGCUAAAAUGUACAACGCUAAGAAGAACCAGGCUGGUAGUGAAACUGCUCAUUCACAGCUUGCCCUCUUCAAACUUCGUGUCCUCUCGUUGCUGGAGAUUUACCUACACGAAAAUCCAGGCAAGUCUUUCUUCAUUCACUAAGGGGUCGUUUCGUGUGAGGGAUAAGAAUAAAUAGUUGUUCUAUAAAAUUUUGAUGUCUUGUUUGGUUGGCAUGUUUGGAAUAACUUAUCCCACCAUUUAUAGCAUAGUGAUUGGAUAAGUUAUCCCCUAAACAUGGUGGGGAAGUAAUUGAUCUUGGGAUAGGUAGUUCCCAACCAAACAACCCCUAAAGGAUUGCUGUUUCCUGGCUAGGAUGAGGAUGAUUCAUGUAUUUAAAGUAGCAUACUUUUAUCAUCUUUGAUAUUUCUUUAGUUGCUUUGUUUAGAACUCAGCAAACCCAGUACAGUGGUUGGUCAUUAUUUUGCAAUCCCACAUAUAUUACAGGUUUAAGUUAUGAGUUAAAAUAUGUAUUAUUUUAUGUGGAGUAGUAAAUGGAAUAAUUAAUAGAAGGAUUGGUAAUACAUGGAUUAAAGUACUACAAUGAUAAAUUUAUCCUCUAUUACUCCACAGUUAGAUUCUUGGCUUUGGUUAUGGUACUUUCAUGUCCCAGUUCUGUUCCUUGCAUCAUUUUUAUAGAUUUAACAUUUUUUUAUUGACACUGGUAACUUUAGUCUUAGUCUAAACUGCUACCUAUAACUAGCACAUCAAAGAUAUCAUCUGUCCUAGUCCAUCUUGAUCUUCUGUAAGCUAUUCUGCGCACAUCAAAGAUUUAACAUUUUAUCAUGCAUUGUUAAUAAGUUUUUUAUUUUAAGAGUUAUAUAGUUUAUAUUAAUUUCUAAUACAACAAACAAAUAUUAACAACCACAUAUACUGUAAAAUCCCACAAGUGAGGGGAAAACCGGAAAAACAAAUAUGUGAAGAAAUAAUUCAUGCAUUGUGUGAUCCCUACAUAACCAAGCUCUACAUAUCUGACCCCCACAUUACUUAUUCCUUCAUAACCUACAUAUUGAUGCAUUUUGGGGCGAAGUCAAUUAGACUAACUUUUCUCAUUUAAUUUUACAUGUACUAAUUGCUCCUCUUGUGCGUCAUCAUUCCUUGUUCUGUUCAAUUUAAUUAACCGUAUUUCAACCUUAUUUGCCUUGUAUACAUGUUGACUUGUAGAUGCCUAACGUCUCCUAAAGAUGUUGUUGGACUCACUAUUCUUAUGUAUCAAUCACUUUGGGCAUCUUUAUAUGGCAUGUCAUUCCUAUGAUCCUAUCAAAUCCUCGCUUCAGCCUUUCUAUUUUAGUUCUGCAUGUAUGGCUUUUAAUCUGUCGAUUCUCCUCAAAAAUAUUACCUAUUAUAAAUACCAUGAAUAAAAGAUUCUCCUGUAUACACUUUGAUCUUGUGGCUGAAUAUCAUGAUCUGAGGCUUUUGUUCCUCUUGUAUUAAGCACUGCUGUAUACACUAUUUGUUUGAUCUUAUUGAUUCAUUAAGGUGUUAAUUGUUAUCUAAAUUUUCCACUUUGCAGAGAAGCCAAAAGUAGUGAAAAUAUUCUCAAGCCUAGCUCAUGCAUUUGUAAACCCUCACACUACGGAAGGUAACGAACAACUUGGCCAGCGAAUUUGGGGAAUUUUACAGAAGAAAAUCUUCAAGGCAAAGGACUAUCCAAAAGGUGAAGUCAUCGAAUUCCCAGUUCUUAAGUCUCUCUUGGAAAGGAACUUGGUACUGGCAGCAAAACAUUUCAAGAAAAAGAAAUCUGCCUCUAGUUUGUCAAAGAAAAAGCUGUCUGCUGCCUUGAAUAGAUUCAAAAUGAUCAAUUCUCUUGCCCAGAGUUCAAUAUUUUGGAUUUUGAAGAUUAUUGAUACGAAAAAACGUCCAAAAUCUGAACUUGAGGAGGUUUCUUGUAUAUUCAGAGAAAAACUGGAGGGUUACUUAGAUAGUAAAAGUACUCGAAUGAAGUGCGAGUUUCUAAAAGAAGUCUUUAAAAGGCGACCACGGAUUGGAUAUCCUCUAUUUGGGUUCCUUUUGGAGAAAUGUGCUAGUGCAAAGCUACAGUUUCGUCAAAUUGAAGCUCUUGAACUGGUCAUCGAGAUGUUAAAAUCGUUUGUUUCUUCAAACCCUGAUGACAACAGCCAUUUUGCCGAGUUAGGCAGCCAUCUUGCCAAGUUAGGGUGUCUUGUUAAUGUGUUGUUGAAAAAUAUGCCGGAUAAGGCAUCACGACGAGCUGAUGUUCGUAAGUUUUUUGGAAAAGUGAUUCAGGUCUUAACAGAUGUUGAACUGAGGGCCUUGUUUCUUAAGGCUCUGGAACCUGAUUGUGAAGCUCAACUGAAGGGCAUGUUUCCUGUUUUAAAUCAGUGAAUGGUAGGGGCAAAGGUAUAUGACAAUAUUCAUAAUUCGCAUGUUGGGGUGACCAAUUUGUCAUUGUUUCCUAGCGUUUAAUCAGACCAUAAGUUAUUUAUAAUUUUGUUUACUACUGGAAUUUACUGUUUUCACCAAGAUUUUUCUUGGGUUGUUGAAAAACUUGUAGCAACACCAGUUUUGGUUAUAUGUAAUACUUCAUAGUAACUGUACAAUUCCAAAAUUUUGGCAUACGUGGCGCGAAUUGACAUCUUACCAAUGAUUGUUUCCAUUCGUCAUUCUUCACCCCUAUUAUUUCACGUCAUUAUUUAUCAUUGUGAGUCUAUAGUUGAUAAAUUCGUCUCAGUGAAACAAGAGUAAUUUUUUGCACAAAUUCUUACCAGCCAAUCAUGAAGCCAAAUGAACUUAUCUACACAACGAGAGAACAUCAAGCUUUUUUGACAAUAUGUAGGAGAGUUCAUUAACAGUAGAAAGAUGCAACAGAAGACUCCAAUCUUGGAUUUGAAGAAAAAGAAGGAUAGAAGUACACAAUUCAAAGUAGCUUAAGAAAGAGUGACACAACUCUAGUCUAUAAUGUAACAGAACUUUCUCCUUCAUGGAGAACUUGAACCCGUAAGUGAAGGUCUUUGUUACGCUUUCCUCUUACAAAUUCACAAAUACAAUGGUCAUUUUUCUCCACAAGGUUCCAUCUACAUAAACUGCGCCAUCCACCUACAAGCCAUAUUCUACCGUCCUUCCACUUGUUGAGUUUCGUCACAAAUUCUCUGCCAAUAGAGUCGCGAAUGGUCAUACUUGAAGGCAGUUCAAGUUUGUAGUCCUUUACCACAUCAACCGGAACAUACUGAAUUGGGAACAAAGACUUUGUCAAGUAAGAAAUGAUAUAACGAUUGAACUACAAAAUCAUUCACGAAAUAGUGAAAAUGAUUAUAAUUACCAGUUGAUCUCUCCUCUUUGAUCUUAUUUUUGCUACAAAAUAAGGAUUUUUCGGCUGUGUUGCACGUCCACUUUUGAAUAUAUCUACACCAAAAUGGUCGUGACGAUUCCUCACCUUGCAAGCAAAGGCUGUUUUGCAUCUAGAUUUAGUUGGUUUGGUUCAUAAACAAAAAUCUCAUGAAACACAAAUAUCUACCCAUGUAAUUUUACAAUUUUACUAACAUGAAUUUAAGAAUGAAAGAAAAAUUUUAACAUGUACCAAAAGUAUUAAAAAAUGAAAUUUAACUUUAUUCCAAAAACUAAAACAAAAAGCACCCUUAGGCUUGUUUCGUUAGCCUUUCGAACUUAUUAUCUUAAACAUUUUAUAUGACUUGAAGAUGAUCUCCAAAUAUACAAAGAUUUUCUUUUUUUAAAAAAAAAAAAACUUACUAACAAGAAAAAAGACGAUACAAAAAUAUUAAUUGGUGUUUACCUUUUGAUCGUAGCGCCUCUUUCUUAUGUGUGUUAGUUCUUUGAUUCUCUCCCUCAUCUUCUUCUUCUUCAUCUUCAUCGUCUUCUUCUUCAUCUUCCACGUAACAUGCUACCUUUUUAGUCUCUUUAUAUUCCUCGUCCUUAUCCUCGUCCUCGUCCUCAUCUCGUUCUCCCAUGUACUCCACAUCGUUAUCGUAGGAAGAAAAACUAUUACAGCUAUCACUAGCCCAAUUCUUCUCUUUUGACUCUCUACUCUUUUGAUGUUCAACAAUCAUUUCUUCCGCUUUUAAACCUCCAACUCCGUUCUUUUCACAUUUAGUUCUUCCAAGUAAUUUAAAGUCAAACAUUUUAUUUCCAUCAUAGUCAAAAACAAGAAAAUCUCCAAUCUCUACACUAUUAUCCUCAAUAAAUUUCUCCCAUCCAUACUGAAAAUACAAAUUUCCUCCGAUUUUGUUCACUCCUACAGGCCACAUAUUGCCAAAUCGAUCCCUAAGGUUAAUUUUCAUUGGUAAUUUUCUAUUCUUGUAAUAUGUAAAAGAUGUGGGAAUUUUCUGUGAAAAAACAUAACAAACAAGUAGAAUAACAUCAAUUUUUUUUUCAUCAUAUAGAAAAAUAUUUCAAAAAAAAAAAAAAACUUACGAGCCUCUUUCCACUGUUUUCAGGAGAGAAAAUCUUGACGAAGCCCUUUUCCAUCUUCUCUUUUGUUGUCAAACUUUAAGAGAAUAGAAGAAAAUACAAAAAGAGAAGAGAUUAUAAGAAGAAAAAUAAAAUGAAAAUUCUGAGUAUUGUUCUCUUCUCAAGUAGUAAAUGCAGAAGAGAAAGCUUUUUCCUCAUAUGGAAUACUAUUAAUUUCAAUAAUUCAGUCAAUAUACAAUAUUUGAUUUUCUCUGUUUACUUUUAAUAAUACACAGUCAAUAUACAAUGUUUUACUGUGUGAUUCAUGACAACAUUCUCUAAUUUGAAAAAAUUAUUCUAAAAAAGACCAGACACUCAUUAACAUGCUCUUGUCUAUAAAAAGUAUAAAGACACCACUCCAUAUGAAUUGUUUGGUACAAAAUUUGUAAUGCAAAAUUUAGUAAUAUUUGGUUUGUUGCUUCUCACCGUAUUUUGUAUUUGAAUUUAAACUCUAUAAAAAUGUUUCUUUCCAACUAUAUCUUUAGAAUUUUUCGUUUCAUGUAAUCGGACCAAAGUAGAUAAUUAUAGGACAAUAUUAUUUUUUAUGGUCCUCUAACUAGAUAGGAGAAGAACAAUAUUAUUGUUAUAUUUGUUAUCUUCUCACUUGAAUUAUUUGAAGGUAAAUAACUGUCAUCUUAAUAAAUUGAUCACUAACAAAACUUCAAUUUCAAUUUAUAAAAGGUAGAACGUCUAAUUUAAAACCCUAAAAAACGAUAAAGAAUAGUAAAAUUGAACGAACCAUCUACGUUUACACAUAAAUUACAAAUUGUAAUUUUAAUAUAUAUGCAGCUUUAUAAAUUGUUCAAAAUACAAAUAAUUAGAAAAUCACUUAUAGAUCAAUAUAUAAAACAUUUAAUUAAGAUCACAAACGUCAUGUAGUUUCUCUUUUCCAUUAGUAAAUGUUAAACAACUCACAAUUCAAAUACUCCUUGAUUUAUAUUGAAUUUAUUUAACAACAAACAACUCUCUCUAAAUAGUAAAAUUUUUAAGCUAAUUUACUCAAAUAAACUUACUAAUAUAGAUAUAAAAUAUAGAAUUAAAAAAAAAUUAACAAAUUGAUUAAAAAGAGUUUCGCAAUAUUUUUAUCUUUUCAUCAAUUAAUCCUGAGUGCGGAGUUAAAAGGAUAGAAAAAUUGUCAAAAAUUCUAAAAGGGCAUAUUAAUUUUUUUUUAAAAUCAAAACGGUAAAAUCGCUCACGAUAUAGCGACUUGCCGUCUGAAAAAGAGAAAUCACUGCUAUUAAAUUUGCUUUUUUUUAAAAAUAAUAAUAAAAAAUUAAACAAAUCGCUCCAUACGGAGCGAUUUUCAAAAUCAAUUUUUUUUUUAUAAGUCGCUGCUUCUGCAGCGACUUCCAUUAAAAAUUUUAAUUUUUUUUCUUUUUUGCUUUAUAAUUGGUUGAGAUUGAAAAAAGAAACAGAUCAAUGAAGAAGAUGAAAUGUGGUAAUAUAUAUAGUUAUGAUUUGUAAUUUCUAAUUUAGUUUAACAACUCUAAAAUUUAGCUUCUGAAUGGAACAAAAUCCGUAGUAAAUAAGUAGAGAAGCAAAUAAAAGUAAAAAAUAACCAAGAAAAAAACUGAUUAAAAAAUAGUAAUGAAUAAUGAAGUGAAGAAAGUAGAGUAAAAUGUUUGGAAAAAAAUAAAACAAUUUAUAAAUCUGACCUUGCUUGGUUUAUUGAGAAGACUGCUUAAUUUGAUGCUUUUGUGUUGAGAUAAAUGGAAAAAACUGAGAAAGAAUAUAGAGGAAGGAGAUGGUGGACUUCAAUGAUAUAAAUAUAAUUGUUAAUUAAGUUUUCAAAAAAAAAAAAAUUAAGUGUAAAACAAAAAAUGUGUUAAUUAAGAAUUCAUUUUAUAAACACAUAUAAAGAUCAGUAAAAAUUUAUUUUAUAUAAAAUAAAGCAAAAAAUUAAAAAUUUUAAUACUUAUAAAAAAAAUUAUUUUUUUUGAUUUGAAAAUCGCUCCAUGUGGAGCGAUUUGUUUAAUUUUUUUUUUAAAAAGCAAAUUUAAGAAAUCGCUGCUAUUGCAGCGAUUUCGCUUUUUCAGAAGGCAAAAGUCGUUACAUCGUGAGGGAUUUUACCGUUUUGGUUUUUUAAAAAAAUUGAUAUGUCCUUUUGGAAUUUUUGACAAUUUUUUAAACCCUUUUGAGUCCGCACUCAAUUAAUCCUACUAUAUUAAAUCUUAUAUUAUUUGACCCGAAAUUCCUACUACAUAAAAUUAAAUAUUACCACACAUAAUACCUGUCGUAAUAUACUUCCUACCAAAUGAUCCAUUAUGCAUUUAUUCAACUACUUUAAAAUAGCAAUUUUGGCAUUCUAUUUUCUUUUAAAAGAUAUUAUAGUACCAUGCAAAGUUGAGCUAGUAAUAGAAGUUUGAUGCUAUUCUCUUUGCCAUAGUAAAGAUCUUUUAAUUUUGAUUAAAAACAAAUAUAAAAUCUUUUAAUUUUUUUAAAAUAAAAUUUAUAUAUUUAUAACAAUAUAGAAAAUACUAUAAAUCACAAUAAAUAAUAAUUUAAAAUAUUUAAAAGGCAUAUUAAAAAUUAUACAAACAAAACUUAAUUUGAAUAUCAAGAUAAAAAAUAUGUCACAUAAAUUAGGAGAAAGAAAAUAACAACGAUUACUAAGACAUAUUGUAAAAAAAUCAAAGAGACAAAAAAUAAUGUUGUCAUUAUUGUCGAAUGUCGAGGAAACAACAAAUAAAAUGAAGUUGUACGGUACAAAAAAAUUGAAGUAAAUGUUUUGAUAUUCUAGUAGAUAAAAAUAAUAAUUCUAAUGAAAAAUAUAUCAACUUUAAAUUUUGAAAUUAAAAAAUAAAAAAAUCUCGUGAAAUAUAAUGAAAUAUUUAAAAUAACAAAUAAUUAACAAAGAUGUCCCUUGAUUUAUAAAUUUUAGAUGAUAAGAGGGUAUAUAUUUUGUUCGGUGAAAAUUAUAGUUUUCAAUUAUUUAUUCGAAGUUAAAAGGCCAAUUUCAGAAUCCAUCAAUUAUGCUAUAAAAUGUAUAAUAAGAACUAUAUGGUAAUGAAUAACUUGAGUUCUACAGAAUUUAUGUUAAAGCAAGGCAAAGGUCUUGUUGUAGACACCACAAGCUAUGUUGAAAAAGACAAAACUUAAUUUUUACAGUCAAAUUAAGGUAAAGUUCUAUUUUAUAAUUAAAAGUUAAUGUCAUAAAAUACGUGACUUAAUUUCUACAAAUUUUAUACCUAGUAAGGUAGAAGUUUAGUUUCUGAACCAUCAAGUUAUGUCGUUAAAUGUAUAACUCAAUCCCUGCAAUAUUUACAGAGAGCUGCAUAAAAAAAUUUGAAACUUAUAUUGAGUAAUUAAAUUAUACAAAUACUAAACAACUUAUGUCGCACAAGUUAAAUACUUAUAGAAUUUAUUCCGAGCAACUUAGGUCAUAUAUAAGAGUUAUUUAGUAAAAAAAAAAAAUUCAUUAAAUGAGUAGUAAUAAAAAAAAAUUAAGACUACGUAAAGACCACCAUACUGAAGGAAAAAAAAUCAAACACUACACUGAAAUAGAAAGAGGAGGAUGCUAGAAAGAGUGAAAUAUUAUAAUUGUAAUGUAUAAUUUUUUUAAAUAUAGCUAUGGAUGUUAGAUACAUAGUAUACAUUACUAUAUCAUGUACUAAACUUCUUCUUUUUUUUUCAAAUUAAUGAGGGAUAAAAGUAAGUUUCAGUGAAAAUAUUUAAAAUUAUGUAAUCAAACUAAUAUAUUGCAUAUAUAGUCAUAAAAUAAAUUUCUUUAGUCGAAAAUGAACAAAGAAAGAAUUCUUAAAGAAUAUAAUAUAUUAUAUUAUUUUUAUAUUAGGCAUUGCUAAAUGGUGCGGCUAUAUAUAGUUGGCAUUUGGCUUCUUCUUUGUAAAUUCUAAAACCCUAUAAAAACCCUAACACGGUCCGACCCGAACCAGUCUCACUCUGCCGAUGACUUCCGCCGGCCUGCUCCUCCGUCGUUCUGCCCAUAAAAUUGUAAGAUGUUUGUCUUAUUCUCUUAGAUCUUUCAUAUUCUGAGAUUUUAAAUCUUGUUGUGAAUGGUUUGAUCUUACUGUUUCCGAAUUAAAAAAUUACAAACAUUUUUUUAUUAAAUUAAACAUCACUUCAAAGAGGUUGAUUUGUGUUAUUGAUAGUUAUAGCUCUGAGUUUAUGGGUAAAGUAAUAAGAAUAUGUUCGUUCAAUUGUCUCUGUCUGUGGGAGAUCAACAUUAUGAUUAUAGAGAUUGUCCGGUGAAUUACAUUGAACACAAAACAGAUGGGACCAUACACCCGUAAGCAGACUCCACUGUUAUGAAAAAAACUGAACACUACUGAUAUUUUAAAUUUUACAGUCAAUGGUUUUAGCUUACUAUAUCACGUUCUUGAUUUGAAAUAAAUAUCCCUUCUUGAUUUCUUGAAAGAGUUGAUUUUUGUUGUUGAUUGCUUAGCUCUGAGUUUAUGAGUAAAGAAUGUGUUCUAUUUUCUGUGGGAGAUCAAGAUUAUGGUUAUAGAGAUAUUCCGGUGAAUUACAUUGUACAGAGAACUGAUGGUACUAUACACCCACAAAGAGACGCCACUGUUAUGGAAAAUAAAAUAAACUCCAAAGGUUAGAUUGCUUAAUAUCUUGUAGUAGUUCCCAAUGUUUCCCCUCAAAUUAGGAAAACACUAUGUUAUGAUAAAACUUAACAGACCUUUUCUCCAAAAGAGAGAGAGAGAGGAGAAAACUAAAGAAAUCUACAAGGAAAUGAACAUCAACUACUUUAAAUCGUAUGUCAUUGGUUUGAUCUUACUAUUUCCAACAUGACCUCUUGAUUAAAUUAAACAUCCCUUCUUGAAUUCUUGAAAGAGUUGAUUUGUGUUAUUGAUCGUUUAUCUGUGAUUUUAUGGCUUGUUAUUGUCUGUGGGAGAUCAAGAUUAUGGUUAUAGAGCUUGUCCGGUGAAUUACAUUGAACAGAUAACAGAUGGGACUAUACACCCUAAAGAAGACGCUACUUCUAUUUAAAAAAGUAUAUACGGGCAAGGCUAGAUUGGCUAAUAUGUUGUAGCUCUCAAUGCUUCCCCUCUGAUUAGGACAAGUCCUCGAAUUUAGAUGCUACGGAGAAACUUAAAGAAAUCUCCAAAGGAAUGAAGAUUGACUACUUUUGCCAAUAUUGAAUGGGCUUUGAACAGAGUGGGAGUGAAAAGUUGAUUGGUUUGAAAAAUCUUGCUAGUAGUUGCUCAUUUCCUAGCUUUUAAUUAUCUAAUCUUUCUCCACUAUGGCUGUUCGUUUACUUGUGCAGUUUGCUUCCAACACCAAGCCUUCAUGGUGCACGUCACAUUUUGGUGCUAAAUGGGCUGGUCUAGCUAGACCAUUUAGGUAUGCGGUUUGUAGCAUUUUUUAUUCUUUUCAUCUUGUGCGGAUGCAUAUGUUUCUCUGUAAGCUUAAUUGUCUUCCGUUGUAGCUCUAAACCUGCUGGAAAUGAAAUUAUUGGUAUUGACUUGGGAACUACCAACUCUUGUGUCGCUGUGAUGGAGGGGAAGGUAAGGAUUAUAUUUGUCGAAAUGCAAAACUUUUGUUGAGAUCAUUUCUGUGAUACUUAUGAUGGCUUUGGUGGAUUAUGUAUAUUUCCUGAUGCCCUUGUUUAUGCAGAAUCCUAAAGUCAUUGAGAAUGCUGAGGGGGCAAGAACAACUCCUUCUGUGGUUGCGUUUAACCAGAAGGGAGAACGACUUGUUGGUACUCCAGCCAAGCGCCAGGCAGUGACCAAUCCUGCAAACACACUUUCCGGGACCAAGCGUCUAAUUGGUAGACGCUUUGACGAUCCUCAAACACAAAAGGAGAUGAAGAUGGUUCCUUACAAGAUUGUGAGAGGCUCAAAUGGAGAUGCUUGGCUUGAAGCAAAUGGACAACAAUAUUCUCCAAGCCAAAUUGGAGCAUUUGUUCUGACAAAGAUGAAGGAAACUGCAGAAGCCUACCUAGGGAAAUCUAUUAGUAAAGCUGUGGUCACUGUCCCAGCUUAUUUCAAUGAUGCUCAGAGGCAGGCAACAAAGGAUGCUGGGCGAAUUGCAGGUCUUGAUGUGCAAAGGAUUAUUAAUGAGCCUACUGCAGCUGCACUCUCUUAUGGUAUGAACAACAAAGAAGGUCUUGUUGCUGUUUUUGAUUUAGGUGGUGGAACUUUUGAUGUUUCAAUUCUGGAGAUAUCAAAUGGUGUUUUUGAAGUAAGUGAAAUUUGUGAUGCUCUCUAAAGCUGUGUAUCUUCCUGUGUUUUCCCCUGUCUAAACUCAUCUAGCUACUUCCACCAGGUCAAGGCAACCAAUGGUGACACAUUUCUAGGAGGAGAGGAUUUUGACAACGCAUUGUUAGAGUUUUUAGUGAGCGAGUUCAAGAGGACUGAGGGGAUUGACCUGUCAAAAGACAAGCUUGCCCUACAAAGACUUCGAGAGGCAGCCGAGAAAGCUAAGAUAGAGCUUUCAUCAACAUCUCAAACUGAUAUUAACUUGCCGUUUAUCACAGCCGAUGCAUCAGGGGCUAAACAUCUGAAUAUCACACUGAC
rnacentral:lncRNA from 1 species